CUCCUCGAGCUCCUCCUCCACCACCACCUCCUCCUCCCUCUCCUCACCCCCGCUGCUUCUGACGACGAUCUCCCGGCCGGUGCUGAUGACAAUCUCCCGGUCGUCGGCGCCGCGGCUGCUGCUGCUGCUACCACUAGCCGCCGUUUGUUCACUCAACAUGUGUCGCCGCCGUGGGUGAGGUCGUCGUCGCCGUCGCCGCCGCCGCCGCCGCUAGUGCUCAGCCACUAGCACACACGCGUAACCAUCGGCGUCUUGCUCUUCUUCCUCCUCUUCGCUUCUCCGAGCUGAGCUGUGGUGGUGAGUGGUGAGUAGGAUCGGAUGCCUAGCUUGGUUAAAUAGGCGGGAGAAGAGGGGGAGGUGGGCCCGGGCGUGUCAGUGUCGCUGAGCCAGUGCCCGCCAUUGGAGGGGCAGUUUGGGUAUUUCCGUUUCGAUCCCCAUUUCGUGUGCCUUUUGGGCGGCUUCGUCUCGCUUUCUGAUUUUGGAGGGGUCUGUGUGUGUGUGUUUAUUUUUGGGGGGUAAGGUUUAGAGGUUAGAGUGUGCAAAGUGCGCUGACUCACACAAUCAUAUAGUUUUAACAUUAACAAGCGCCGUAUGAUUAUUUUUUCCCUUUGAUUAGUAGUACAGGUUUGGAUUGGAUACGUCACCCAUUUUUUAGGGCAAAGAGCGUGAAGGUUCUAGCCUUCUCUCUUCCUACAUGUUUAGUUACGUACUUCCACUGUACGAUCAUGCGUCGCCGUAAAAUAUUUUAAAAUGGAUCGAUAAAUAUUACUCACUCCGUCCCAAUAAAAAUCAGGAAAUCAAUCUAUGUUGAUUUUUAUUAGGACGCUAAGUUACUUUUUAUCGAGACGGAGGGAUUAGUUGUUUUUUAAUGGACUAGAUUGAUGUUCUAAAUAGAUUAAUUAAUAUAAUACUCCAUUUAGGGGCGGGACAUACGAUAGAUUAUCUAAUUUUGUGAUGAUAAUCGACUAUACAAACGAAUGAAUUAAUUGUGAAAAAAUAGAUAAGUUGUUCUAAAAUAUUAUUCUAAACAGUUUAUAUAUAGAAAGUUUUUAAAAUACCAUGUUUCUAAACUUGUAAAACGUGUCUACGAUAAUCUAUAAUUUAUUGAGGAAAAGAACCAGCCUCAAACCAAUUGCUACAUGCUAUAGUGGUUUGGGUCAGGCGGUGAUGAGGACAUCCUCCACUAUUAUCCGCUGGCAGAGACGCUAAAGUCGGGCGGCGACCGUGUGAGCCUCUGAAUAAUCCCACCUUGCUUAGCUAAUCCCACCUUACUUAGCUUAGAAGGAGGAAGCCACCUUAAAAAGGAGAGCCACCCUUCCCCUACCGGACUAGUCUUUUAGGGAGAUUGGGCCUUUCCCUGAGUGGGUGUGCUAAAGAACUGUUGGGGUCCGGACAACCUUAAGUUAUUGGGCCUCGGCCGACCCCACCUGGGCCGGAUUGUUAUCAGGCGGCCGCAAUGACCUUACACAAAAUAUAUGGUUAAAUGAAUAUAACAUCAUUGGCUUCGACAUAAAUGGUACUCCGUUUCAGGUCAUAAGAUGUCUCCGUUUCAGGUUAUAAGAUGUUUUGACUUUAGUUAAAAUUAAAUUGCUCUAAGUUUGGCUAAGUUUAUAAAAAAUAAUAUUUUUUACAAAGAUAAAUUUAUUAUAAAAAUAUAUUUAAUUAUUAAUUUAAUAAAACUAAUUUGGUAAUAUAAAUAUUACUAUAUUUACCUAUAAGGGCCCCUUUGAAUCGCAGGGUAGAAAAAACGGAGGAAUAGAAAAAACGCAGGAUUCUGAUAGGAAUUGAAGUGUAAAACAGAGGAUUGCAAAACACAGGAAAAACACAGGAAUGGUCGUUUGAUUGGAGCGCAGGAAAAACGCAGGAAUCGGAUGAGAAAGAUAGACUCAAAGGAAAUUUUCCAAGAGGUUGGAGCUCUUGCUAAAUUUUCUUCAAAAUCCACAUGCAAUGUGCCAUUCCAUAGGAAUUUCAUAGGAUUUGGAAAGUUUCAAUCCUUUGAAUCAAAGGGCCAAAUAGAAAAAUUUCCUAUAGGAUUUGAAUCCUAUGAAAUUCCUACAUAAAUCCUUUAAUUCAAAGGGGCCCUAAACCUAGUUAAACUUAAAGCUGUUUAACUUUGAUUAAAAUUAAAACAUCUUAUAACCUGAAAGCCACGGAGUACUACUCAUAUGAUGUCAGCGACUCAGCGUAUCAAAUAUACACAUAUAUACCCACCCCUACCGAACGAACUACAAGUCGGUAUAACCGGCGAACCUUCGAGUGAUUCUGCCGCCGCAUGCAAACGAAGGGCCUGUUUAGAUGGGAUUAAAACUUUUAAGUCCCUAUCACAUCGGAUGUUUGAAUAUUAAUUAUAAAUAUUAAACGUAUACUAUUAAUAAAACCCAUCCAUAAUCUUGGACUAAUUCGCGAGACGAAUCUAUUGAGCCUAACUAAUCUAUGAUUAGCCUAUAUGAUGCUACAGUAAACAUUCUCUAAUUAUGGAUUAAUUAGGCUUAAAAAAUUUGUCUCGUGAAUUAGCUUUCAUUUAUAUAAUUAGUUUUGUAAGUAGUCUAUAUUUAAUACUCUAAAUUAGUGUAUAAAGACAGGGACUAAAGUUAAAUCUCUGGAUCCAAACACCACCGAAGUCUCGUGCACUCCUGUCCCGAGAGAGUUCAGUCAAACGCAUUCCCAGCGGAUAAAAUAAAUGAAGAUUUGGUGAUUAGGCCGUGUCAACUUCACCCCCCCCCCCCACCCCCACCAAAAAAAAAGAAGAUUUACGAUUCAAAUGUCAUCACCGAAUUGUUUACUGGUUACUUCGCGAGCAGGGAGGCGGUGAGUUACCUACGUAGUACGUGUGUGCUGGUUUAGAGCAACGUUGACAGCGACGUUUUAUUAAUUCUUACACACACGUAAGAGGUACUACUACCACGUCUCAUAAUAAUUCUUACACUGUUUGACCACUCGUUUUAUUUAAGAAAAUUUAGAAUUAUUAUUUAUUAUUUAUUGACUUACUUUAUUAUCCAAAGUAUUUUAAGCAUAAUUUUUUAUUUUUUUAUAUUUGCAUAAAUGUUUUUGAAUAAGAUAAGUGAUCAAACAGUGCAAACAAAAACUCAAAAUUUCUCAUAUUACUCCAAUUUAACAGAAGGAGUAGUAAUUAUCAUCGUUUGCAUGGAGGCGAUGGGUAAUCAAAAGACGUGGUCGGCCGCGGUUAACCCCGUCUCGCUGUCACGGAGUUAAAGCGGGUGUGUGUUAGCGAAAGGGGGUUAGGAUUAUUUUGAGGCCGUUGCGAAUUAGCGGCGGAGCCGUGUGGGGCCCAGCCCGCUUGCAUUAUCCUACUACUCUAUUAUACACCGGGUUAGGCGCAGACAAGGUGGGCCCGGGGGUGUCUCCGCGGGUGGGCCCCACGGGUGGAGAUCGACGGCGGAGAUGCGUUUGGUGUGGUGCCUGUCAGAGAUCAGAACGAACAAACCCGUCAGGUGAGGCGUUGGCCGUUGGCCCGACUAGAUAGAUAGGGGGUGUGCCACUAUGGGGGUGUUUGGGAGAGAGGGGCUAAACUUUAGCCCCUCUCUCAAAACCAUAAGUCUCUAGGAGAGGGACUUAUGGUUUUGAGAGAGGGGCUAAAGUUUAGCCCCUCUCUCCCAAACACCCCCUAUAUCUACCAGUAUGCCGGUAUGGUCGUCUACUCGUCUCAUGUUUCAUGCUGCGAGCCUGCAAAAAUAGUAGUGGCCUUUUUUACUAGCACGUUUCUACAUCGACGACACACCACGUGGCCAUGCCUGCAACAGUGCUUAGAUGGAGAUUAGCCAUGAUCAUUGUUACUAUGGUGUUCAAGUGAAUAGGGGCAGGGGUGAAAACGAGAGGGGGAAACACCGGAGCAAGUUACCGAAUGUUACUAGUUACUACUUACUAUUUCCUCCGUUUCACAAUGUAAGUCAUUCUAGCAUUUCUCACAUUCGUAUUGAUGUUAAUGAAUCUAGACACGAAUGUGAAAAAUACUAGAAUGACUUACAUUGUGAAACGGAGGGAGUACUCGUGUAUUACUUUCGUCCACAAAUAUUUUUUUAGCUACAUACAUUCACAAAGUAACGAGAGCUACAUUAGGUUUCAUGUGGUGAAACCUAUUCAUCUAAGUUAAAGUUCUAAAUUUAAUAUAGACAAGAAAAAACUACCCAUACGUUACAAUAAGUGAAGGCUAUUUUAAUAUAUUAUUGUUAGAAUUUUUGUCUAAAAAAUAUAUGGGAUUUUUAUUUUGAUAGUAUUGAUAUCUAAUUUGGAACCCUUAUUAAGAUGAUGGUCAUAUCAUGUACGCCUGACGAGAAUUCUAAAGCAAUUAAGAAUCAGACUCCCAUCCUAGGUUUGCAUGUGAGUUUUUUUAAAAAAGAUUUCUUAUAUGACUCCUUAUAUAUUUUCAAAAGCGAACAAACUUAGAAACCAAGUCAAAUACGAAUAACAUGCUAAAGUAUCAGCGAAAAUAUUUUUAAUUUUUAUAAUAAUGGAGAAGAGAUAGAGAUACCAAUACCGAAAGAGAAAAUGAGGGGAAAAGAGAAGAGAUUGAAAGAAGAGGGAGAGAAUUAGGAUUAUCGGGAAAAAGAAAAAGAGAAAAGAGUAAAAAAAAAGACAGUCAAGGGAAGAGCACAUGACUUCGAGUGGAUGCACGCGGGAUGGUACGGGUCGAUUGGGUUGUGUUGGGCUAGGAGAGGGAUGGGUGGGAUUAGGCUGGGGAGGAGGUGUACAGUACUCCAUCCAUCUACUUUUGAUAGGUAUAUUUCCAAAUCUGAAAAAUUUACUUUUGAAAUGCAUAUUUUAAUCCAACCACCUAUCAUCUUAAUGACUUUCUCGGAUUUAAUGCGUGACUUUCCAUUCUUUCACAUAAGACUGGUUACAUGGGCAUCAAGAAAUAUAAAUAUUAAUGAAUCGAUUGUUUACGAUGAAUAACUAGUAACAUGUUUAAAUGGAUGAUAAGUAGAAUUACUUAUCCUUGGUCAUUGUGUGAAAUAUGACUAUAAAAAGUAGAUGGAUGGAGUAGUUAUUUUAGGCUCGAGCUGAACUGGAUGCGGACGACGUACAACCUAGACACCGAUAACGAAAUAAAAUUCCGACAAAAACAUCUUCAAAUUUUAUAAUAGUAGAUAUAUGAUAUGCUCUCAUUUACACAUAAACUUUUAAGUAAUUUUAAGUUUAGAUAACAUAUCUGUUAAUAUCUGUUAACAGUGAGGUGUUUAUGGUAAUUUCGUCAAAUUUAAAAUAUAUCCAUUUAGUUUCUUACAAGUGCUAAUAAUGUGUCCCUGUAUUCACAGGGGAUUAGUAUGCACACAUGUAUAUGAAUUUGAAUAUCUAUUGUAUUGUGCUUGUAUGAGAAAAAGACGCAUGGUCGUGUCGCUUGUAUGAGUAUACGUCUUUUACCCUUUCCACGCGCGGAGCUUCGCUAGCUGUAUUCCGGCUGUACAACGUUGGACGCACGGCCAGGGGAAGAAGAGUGUAGAACACGCGGUGCAUGCGAUGCGAUGCGAUGAGCUCACUCGAACCGCGACCGAUCGAAACGACCGCGCGCAUGACGAUGACGUGCACGCACGUAGCAAUCAGUCAAACACAGCCACCAAAAAAAAUCACAGCAUAAUCCAAAAUUCGUCUUGCUUAAUUUAUGCCUCUACUUUGCAUUACUUUACAGCCUGUGAAAGUGAGAACGAAUGUUUUUGUCACCUGCAUGCCGCUGAUAUUUGACGCGGCCAAAACACACCCGUCUGCCAAAAUAAAACCACACGUUUUUCCCUCUACGAAAUACUACAACCGUCCAAAAAUACUCAACUUAAAAGAGGAUGUAACCUCUUCUGAUACAAUGUAUUUAGACAAAAAGCUAUCCAGAUUCAUUAUACUAAGAGCAAGUUUAAUAGUAUAGCCAACUAAUAGCUCCAAUUUAUCUAUAGCUAAUCUAGUAGCUCAUUUAUACAAUAGUUACGUACUACACUAUUAAUACCUGGUCUCACCUGUCAUACACAUAUUGCGUCUCGAAGUCCGUGCUAUAGCUGGCUACAAAUGUAUAGCCCGCUGCUCUUCUCUCUCCUUAUUUAUCUUAUUAAAAUAUGUUUGCAGCUGGUUUAUAAUCUGCUAUUGUACCUGCUUAAAAGACGUGGUUGAGUUUUUUUAAGAACGAAAAGAGUACUAAUCAGGAAAUUUGAAUUUGGUUGUGACAAGAAAAGGAUCUUGUUAUCAAGGGUAGACGUCAUGAGAUUGAGAAGGAUCACGACAUGUAAACUCCAUGUCAGUGACUCGGUCGCAAUUUCGCAGUGCUUAGGUGGUCUUUGAAUUUAGGGAUUUAACUUUAGUUUUUUAUUUAGACACUAAUUUAGAGUAUUAAAUAUAGACUAUUUAGAGAACUAAUUACAUAAAUGAAAGCUAAUUUGGGAGACAAAUUUUUUAAGUCUAAUUAAUUCAUAAUUAGAGAAUGUUUUACUGUAGCAUUAUAUUCUAAUCAUGGAUUAAUUAGGCUUAAUAGAUUCGUCUCGCGAAUUAGUCCAAAAUUAUGGAUGGGUUUUAUUAAUAGUCUAUGUUAAUAUUUAUAAUUAGUGUCCAAACAUUUGAUGUGAUAGGAACUUAAAAGUUUAUAGUCCCAUCUAAACAGGGUUAGACUAUAGAUUUUGCAGGGGGCCAGUGCUGGAUACAACGGAGGAAACAAACAAAGGGAAGAGAUGGCAGGAGGUAGUAGUAGCAAGGAUCCUCUGUAACAACCAUAUCUACAACGAUCGUUGCAGAUUCGACUAUAAUUUGACUGGCCCCAGCAGGCAAUGGAUGCUCCGAGUGGAGGAGCAGGGAGUUGCAAUCAUGACUAAGAGAAAGCUAAUAGGAUUUGUCAAGUUUGAAGAUUUUCGAAAGAGAUGUCAAGUAUAUAUGAAAGGCAAUACUGCAAAAAUCUAAAAAUGUGCCAAAUUAAGGUGGUACAUUCUCUCAUACAAUUUAUGCAAUAUCUGAUCAAAUAAAGCUCGAACUCUAAGUAGCCGAUGUAUUAGAAGAUUGGAACCCUUGAUGGAUUUCCCUUUCGAUAUAAUUUGGUUAACAGAAUUUAGGUCGAAUGUCCAUAAUCUCCUAACCUUAGAGCAUCUGUAGUGUGAACAAAAAAUCGAUUUUACGACAGGAGAACCAAAUCAUGCACAUUGUAGCUGUCGAACCGUAGGUGUCAAACAACAAAUCGAACUCCACAUUGGAGUCGAACUGAAAGAGUAAAUUAAUAUACUGUGCAUGCAUGCAGGUACGGUUCCAGUGAUUGGCUCAUUCCCUUUUUACAGAUCCCACAAAACAAUUUUAACAUUAUAGCUAUCAAACUGAAAUUUUGUUUGGCUCUUCUAUUAGAUUGAUCAAACCAAACACUACAGAUGCCCCCAGUGCCUUUGCCAACUGUUAGAUAAGUGUAGAAUUUUGCUUUCACUUUUGAAAUGGAAGUACACUAAUAUAUUUGGGAAAUACAAAGCAUAACUUUUAAAAAGGCCAAAUGCGUUUUACACUAAACUUAGCUGGUGCUCUGCUCCGCUCACAGAAGGUGGGUACGCAGAAGAUCAUUGCGGCAGGGAAGUAGUAGUAGGUCAUGGUCAACCUUAACCAUACCCUACCAUGACAGCAGCAGCCCAGGCCCAUCAAUCGCCCACAGCCCCUGCAGGCCCGGGCCCACUCGAGCAGAGGGGCACUGUGAAAAAGGCCCAGUCGGCCCCACCACGUCAUGGGGCGCCAUGCACGCACCGGUCAGACGACGCGGUUGUCGGCCUGGCCGGGGUGCCCAGCCACGUGGGCAGCCCGCGCGCUACCGACAGCGGCCGUGACCCGCGGGGCCCGGCGGCGCGCGCUCUCGCGCGCGCGCGACGUCGUCGAGACCGCGACGCCGACCGAUGGCGAGCGCGCCCGCGCCCCCGCCCCGCGCGCGCGCCGCGCCAGCCACCAUGCGACGACGUCGUACACGCACAGCGCGCCGCGGGCGCGAGCGCGCGCGCUCUGCAGCGUCGCCGCCGCCGAACGCCAUGCCGAUCGAUGCCGCCGGGCGCGCACGCGCGCGCGCGUCACCAUUGUGAUCAUGGCGCGCGCGACGUGACGGCGACACAAGCCAAUCCAUCGCUAGCGACUCGCUUAGUACUAUUAAUUACUCCACUAACUAGCGGCAUGUACAAGAAGCGGUAGGAGAAAUAUCGUGUUUCUGUCUAAUCUUUUCUGUGGUUGUACGCUUGUUUAAUCCUCCUUUUCGUAGGAGUUAAUGACGAUAGGGCUCGAUCAGAGAAUAAAAAUUGGGUUGGUGCGCUGAUCACUUUCGCGGCGAGUGUUGCUGACUUGCAGCAACGCGCGCCACUUGCCGCCGUUCGGUUGGCCUCCGCGGCGGGGGAUGAUAAUAAUGGAUAAUGCUUUAUGCGAGAUACGGCUCUGUUGGUUUUGCAUUUCUUUUUCGUUAGGGUGGUGAGUGCACCGGAGCCAAUAAACAGGUUUAGGUGGAGGACUCGUGUUUUUUUUUAAAGCUCAGCCAUACGCCCAUACGAUAAUUAUUUCAUUUGUUCUUUUAGAUGUGCCUACUAGUUCGUGCUAGUAAUCUAUAGAGCACUUCAGGACUAGAUAGCGAGAAAUCUGUUUUAAGAGAUCAACACGACACCCCUUUGCAUGCGACCUUGGGCGAGUGGCUAGCUAAGCUUGGACUGGUUCCUAAGAUUGCCACUAAAAACAUGUGUCAAAUGGUUGACUGAAUAUAUAUGUAAGGUGUCAGACUUGUCUCAAGAUAUAAUGGUGAUGAGAUCCUUUUGGGACGCACCUGAUCGAUUCUAUGAAUGGACUACAACUCUUUUGAAGUAGCAGAUCAUACUAGUGAGCAAACGCUUAAUAAUGUCACUCAUUCCCUCCGUCUCAGAAAAUACAAUCUAAGAUAGGAACUGUUAUAUAUCCUCGGACAACCAAUCAAGACAAGCACUUAAUCCAGAUUCGUUGUUCUUGAAUGCGUCACAUUCUAUUCUAAGUUAGGUUUUUUUUAUGGAGAAAGUACUUUAGAUUAUAAACAAAACGUAUAUAAUGAUUGAGACAGCUAUGUAAUAUCAUUUAUGUACACAGCCACAUCAACUAAGAACAAAUAAAAAUGGCAUGUACAAGAGACAAUAUGAUAUCUAAUGUCACUCCUCUCAACUGUUUCCUUGUACCCUAUAUUAUCUGAGAUGCCUCUUUGCAAAGAUACAUCUCCUUUCUCUUCUUUCUUUAUCCAUCGACACUUCAUUAAUUAAUUGCAAUGAGUCAUAUGGGGUGGGGGGUGGGGGGGGGAUGGAGGAACUAAGACCAAUUAAGGACUAAAAAUAUCUAGCAGUAGCUGGUCUAGAGCUGAUUACUGGUUACCAAACGAUGAAUUCAGAUUUUAAAAAUUCGACUAUUAUGGAUAACCUAUUCGAUUUUUAUAUUACUGCAAUGUUUUCCCUCCAACUCGUAAUUCAUAAAUAGUAGGGCUGGCCAGCCAGUUGGCAAUUGGGAGUCCAACUCAGAAGACAAUAUUGUGCAUAAUUCAGUUGGCAAUUGUCCGGUUAAUUUUAUUAGUAGGACAAAUUCGUUAUGCCAGUGGCACCUAGUUCGGUAACAAAUUUUGGUGUUAUUGUAGAGGUUGGAUAUAGCGUUUUCAUAUCAAACACUCAAAAGUAGUUUAGAGGUUUUCCCCUGUGUGGAUAUUAUGGGUACCCCAUACCCAUACGGCAUGGUUAUCCGACCAGUCAUAGGGGAUAACUUAUAUCUAUAGAAUAUGUAAUAGAUCAUGACUCGGGUAUUACGUUUCCUUAUAUAUUACGGAACAGCCUAAAGUCCUGGUUUGAUAAUAUUGUAAAGUAGAUUUAGGAAACCGAUACCGUAUUGGUUAAGGUUUCUAUCUUGUAAUCCUGCCCCCCACCCUAUAUAAGGUGGGCAGGAGGCCCUCUAGGGGGCAUGAGACAACCUGAUCGUCAGAUCUAUAAUACACCCGGCGGAUUCAAAUCCCCAAACAGGAGUAGGGUAUUACCUCUCAUUGAGAGGGCCCGAACCUGUCUAAAUCCUUUGUCUCCACAUCCAUCCACUUUUAGGUCUCGUGCGCUACCCCGUUUUAUUAUUGCCGAAAUCAUGUUUCGACAGUUGGCGCGCCAGGUAGGGGUUGCGUCGAGUUUCCUAUCAACGAGCGCGAUGGAAUCAAUUUCAUGAGUCGCCGACUUCGCUUUCGCUUUGGGAGUUUUCACUUCCUUUCCGUCGACCACUUCUUCAAGCUCCUCUUCUCUGACUUGAUCCAAAUCAGUCAGGGGGAAACUCAAUCUGAUUUUUAUCAUUAUUUAUCAUAUUGAUUUUUAAUCUCAGAUUAAUUUCUUGCUAUUUUUUGUUGUUGUUCGCAUAUAACUACGCGGCACUAUUGAGGCGAUUGAUGCUGGUCAUGGACUCGAGGCGUCUCAGCUUUCCGGUCGAUCGGCCGCGAGUCCACUCCGCCGGCUUGUCCUCGCCACCGCCAUUGCUGAUAGCAACAACGACUUCACCGCCGGCCUGCCUCCGUCGCCGCCGACUGGUGUCAUCGCCUAUACGGUUGGUCGGUCACACCACCGUUCAUGGGCGUCCAUGUCUUCACCGACCGGCUGGCCUUCGCCGCCGCCGACUGGUGUUUCCGCCUACACGGCUGGCCUAUUAUGCCGCCGCUGUUGGGCGUCUACGACUUCACCGCCGGCCUGCCUCCGUCGCCGCCGAUUGGUGCCUCCGCCUACACGGCUGGCCUAUUAUGCCGCCGCUGUUGGGCGUCUACGACUUCACCGCCGGCCUGCCUCCGUCGCCGCCGAGUGGUGCCUCCGCCUACACGGCUGGCCUAUUAUGCCGCCGCUGUUGGGCGUCUACGACUUCACCGCCGGCCUGCCUCCGUCGCCGCCGAUUGGUGCCUCCGCCUACACGGCUGGCCUAUUAUGCCGCCGCUGUUGGGCGUCUACGACUUCACCGCCGGCCUGCCUCCGUCGCCGCCGAGUGGUGCCUCCGCCUACACGGCUGGCCUAUUAUGCCGCCGCUGUUGGGCGUCUACGACUUCACCGCCGGCCUGCCUCCGUCGCCGCCGAUUGGUGCCUCCGCCUACACGGCUGGCCUAUUAUGCCGCCGCUGUUGGGCGUCUACGACUUCACCACCGGCCUGCCUCCGUCGCCGCCGACUGGUGUCCCCGCCUAUACGGUCGGUUGGUCACACCACCGUUGAUGGGCAUCGUCAUCUACACCGCCGGCCUGCCUCCGUCGCCGCCGACUGGUGUCCCCGCCUAUACGGUCGGUUGGUCACACCACCGUUGAUGGGCAUCGUCAUCUACACCGCCGGCCUGCCUCCGUCGCCGCCGAGUGGUGCCUCCGCCUACACGGCUGGCCUAUUAUGCCGCCGCUGUUGGGCGUCUACGACUUCACCGCCGGCCUGCCUCCGUCGCCGCCGAGUGGUGCCUCCGCCUACACGGCUGGCCUAUUAUGCCGCUGCUGUUGGGCGUCUACGACUUCACCGCCGGCCCGCCUCCGUCGCCGCCGAGUGGUGCCUCCGCCUACACGGCUGGCCUAUUAUGUCGCCGCUGUUGGGCGUCUACGACUUCACCGCCGGCCCGCCUCCGUCGCCGCCGAUUGGUGCCUCCGCCUACACGGCUGGCCUAUUAUGCCGCCGCUGUUGGGCGUCUACGACUUCACCGCCGGCCUGCCUCCGUCGCCGCCGAUUGGUGCCUCCGCCUACACGGCUGGCCUAUUAUGCCGCCGCUGUUGGGCGUCUACGACUUCACCACCGGCCUGCCUCCGUCGCCGCCGACUGGUGUCCCCGCCUAUACGGUCGGUUGGUCACACCACCGUUGAUGGGCAUCGUCAUCUACACCGCCGGCCUGCCUCCGUCGCCGCCGACUGGUGUCCCCGCCUAUACGGUCGGUUGGUCACACCACCGUUGAUGGGCAUCGUCAUCUACACCGCCGGCCUGCCUCCGUCGCCGCCGAGUGGUGCCUCCGCCUACACGGCUGACCUAUUAUGCCGCCGCUGUUGGGCGUCUACGACUUCACCGCCGGCCUGCCUCCGUCGCCGCCGAGUGGUGCCUCCGCCUACACGGCUGGCCUAUUAUGCCGCUGCUGUUGGGCGUCUACGACUUCACCGCCGGCCCGCCUCCGUCGCCGCCGAGUGGUGCCUCCGCCUACACGGCUGGCCUAUUAUGCCGCCGCUGUUGGGCGUCUACGACUUCACCGCCGGCCCGCCUCCGUCGCCGCCGAUUGGUGCCUCCGCCUACACGGCUGGCCUAUUAUGCCGCCGCUGUUGGGCGUCUACGACUUCACCGCCGGCCUGCCUCCGUCGCCGCCGAGUGGUGCCUCCGCCUACACGGCUGGCCUAUUAUGCCGCCGCUGUUGGGCGUCUACGACUUCACCGCCGGCCUGCCUCCGUCGCCGCCGAGUGGUGUCCCCGCCUAUACGGUCGGUUGGUCACACCACCGUUGAUGGGCAUCGUCAUCUUCACCGCCGGCCUGCCUCCGUCGCCGCCGAUUGGUGCCUCCGCCUACACGGCUGGCCUAUUAUGCCGCCGUUGUUGGAUGUCUACAUCCUCACCGUUGGCUCACCUUCGUUGCCGUCGACUGGUGUUUCCGCUUACACGGCUGACCUAUUAUACCGCCAUUAGUGGGCAUCUUCGCUUUCACCGUCGACCGCCUUCGUCGCCGCCGACUGGUGUCUUCAUUAUUAUUGAUGGACGACUUUGUUCCCACAUUGGCCACUUCUGCCAUCACCAAGGGGAAUAUUACAAAGCUAAGUCAUCAUUUAUUUUAUUCUUUAUAUGAUAUUUUUCCUUUUCCUCUGCCUCACUACACCAAUUGGUCUUCCAUUGAGUAGUGAGUCGGGGGCUACAGAUGUUAUAUCAUAUUUUUUAUAAUAUUUAUCUUGAUUGCUUGCGACAUAAUCUGAGUACAAAAGUACCUAUCGAGUUAUGGAGUUCUAUCUUCCUAUGCUUUCCGUUUGGUUUGCCAAUGGAUGGUUGCCUUUGGGCCGAUUCCUAACACCCGGGGGCUCGUUGGAUGGACCGAGUAACGCAAGGUGCUAAGUAUUACUCGGAAGAAAUCAAAAGCAUAGAGAUAAUAUAAUUUAUUUUCUGCUCUUAAUAAUUGCAAAAGUACCUGAGUAGUAAAUUCUGAUCCGUGAAACUUUGUUCCAUUAAUGACGAACUCAUGUCACUCAUAUGCAUGUUUGGGAAAUGCCUAGGCCGACUCCCGAUGCUUGGGGGCUAUGACUAGUCGGACAGAGUGUUUAAACGUACAGAGUCAUCUGCUCGGGGAAAUCAAAAUUGACAAGAGGAGAAAUACAUAUUUAUAAAUAUUUUAAAAUACUUGAUUUUUUCUCGAGUAUUAUAUUUAUAUCAGAUACUACUCAUCCUAUAUGUUUGUUCUGCAGGAUCCAGAUCCAGAUAUGCAUAAAAGGGAUUCAUGGCUUUAAGCUUAUCUCUUACGCUCCAGGAAUGGAUCAGUCAGAACACCACCACCGGCUCGCCUCGACCGCCGCCGACUGGUGUUUCCGCCUGCACGGCUGGCUUAUUAUGCCGCCGUUGUUGGGCGUCUACGUCUUCACCGACCGGCUUGCCUUCGCCGCCGCCGACUGGUGUUUCCGCCUGCACGGCUGGCCUUUAUGCCGCCGUUGUUGGGCGUCUACGUCUUCACCGACCGGCUUGCCUUCGCCGCCGCCGACUGGUGUUUCCGCCUGCACGGCUGGCCUUUAUGCCGCCGUUGUUGGGUGUCUACGUCUUCACCGACCGGCUUGCCUUUGCCGCCGCCGACUGGUGUUUCUGCCUGCACGGCUGGCCUUUAUGCCGCCGUUGUUGGGCGUCUACGUCUUCACCGACCGGCCGCCUCGUCCGCCGCCGACUGGUGUUUCCGCCUGCACGGCUGGCCUAUUAUGCUGCCGUUGUUGGGCGUCUACGUCUUCACCGACCGGCUUGCCUUCGCCGCCGCCGACUGGUGCUUCCGCCUGCACGGCUGGCCUUUAUGCCGCCGUUGUUGGGUGUCUACGUCUUCACCGACCGGCUUGCCUUUGCCGCCGCCGACUGGUGUUUCUGCCUGCACGGCUGGCCUUUAUGCCGCCGUUGUUGGGCGUCUACGUCUUCACCGACCGGCCGCCUCGUCCGCCGCCGACUGGUGUUUCCGCCUGCACGGCUGGCCUAUUAUGCUGCCGUUGUUGGGCGUCUACGUCUUCACCGACCGGCUUGCCUUCGCCGCCGCCGACUGGUGUUUCCGCCUGCACGGCUGGCCUUUAUGCCGCCGUUGUUGGGCGUUUACGUCUUCACCGACCGGCUUGCCUUCGCCGCCGCCGACUGGUGUUUCCGCCUGCACGGCUGACUUAUUAUGCCGCCGUUGUUGGGCGUCUACGUCUUCACCGACCGGCUGCCUCGACCGCCGCCGACUGGUGUUUCCGCCUGCACGGCUGACUUAUUAUGCCGCCGUUGUUGGGCGUCUACGUCUUCACCGACCGGCUGCCUCGACCGCCGCCGACUGGUGUUUCCGCCUGCACGGCUGACUUAUUAUGCUGCCGUUGUUGGGCGUCUACGUCUUCACCGACCGGUCGCCGCAUCCGCCGCUGACUGGUGUCACCGCCUGCACGGCUGGCCUGUUAUAACGCCAACUGAUGCUAUCUUCUUCACGGCUGGCUACAUCGCUGUCACUACUAAUAGGCAUCAGUAUCUUCAACACAAGCUGCCUACGUUUGCCAUGGCUGCCGACUGGUUUCUUCACUUCCAUGGCUGCAUGAUUCUGCCAGUGUUGAUUGGCCUUAUCUUCUUCACCGCCGGUCGUCUCGUCUGCUGCUGACUAGUGCCCUCACCUCUACGUCUGGUUUAUACAGCUACCACUACUGAUGGACAUCAUCGUCUUCCGUUGCCGACUGGUUAUGCCGCCGCCGACUAGUGCUUUUAUCUUCACAACUGCGCGUCUUCGCUACCAGUUUGCUUCUGUUGCCGCCGACUCAUGUUCACUUCAUCACGGCGAUGCAACUUUGUCAUCAUAGUGGAGCGACUUCAUCUUUAUUAUCUUCGGCACUGGCAAACUCUAUUGCUGCUACUUCGCAAGUUUUACUACUUCACCAACCACGACGUCUUUGUGAACCUCGACAUCUCGGCAUGCAAUGCCAUGAUAUUUUACUACAACAAGUGACUCUCCAAUAUUCAGGAUUUCUACUUGGACACCUUCAACACAUAUCUUCAAUCAAGCAAUGACUACUCGACGACAAGAAGCUAUAAUUCUCGACUCUAUGUUCAGUUGUUUCCCAACUAACCAAAGAGUCGGGGGCUACACAAAUAUAAGGCUCAAAAUUUGACAAAUUUUAUGUCAAGCUGAAGAAAUCAAUUAAUCAGCCAAUGAGUCAACUCCAGGAGUCAUUAUCUUCAUCUUUGCUUCGGAACAGACAUUCUACUUCAACAACUUCAAAUAUUUCGGUUUAGACGAGUUGGGCAACAACAUCAACUCUCCUCCAAUUAUUUGUCUUCACGGUUGGCCUACUACGCAACUGCCGAUAGAGGAUCUCAUCGUUAUCAUCGGCUGCUACAUCGCUAUUGACUGGAUCACCGACAUCGUCAUCUUCAUCAACAUCUUGUCAAGCCUCAUCAACAUAGCCUACUCUGCUGCCGUUGAUGGGAAACUUCGUCAUCAUAGUCGGCUAUCUCUGUUGCCGCUAAUCAUCAUUACCGUCGGAUGCGUUUGUCGCCGCCGAUUAUUUUCUUCAUCUUCAUGAUUGGUGGAUUUCGCCAUCACCGUUGAUGCGCGUCUACGUCUUCAUCGUCGGUUUGCUUUUGUCACCACCGACUGAUCUUUCGUUGUUGUUGGGCGCCUACAUCUUCACUGCUAGCUGACCUGACUGUUGCCGACUGGUUUCUUCGCUUCCAUGGUUAUGCAACUUCAUUACAUUUGAUUGGUGGCAUCUUUACUACCACUGACAUCUUCCGUUACUUCUGAUGAGCAAUUUCGUCUUCAUGUUGGUCAUUUCAUCUCCAUGCCGACUGCGUCAGCUAUUGCCAAUAGACAAUUUUGACUAUGACAGAAGGACAAGCUAUAUGCUCAGGGGCUCAUCAGCUCAAGCGUGAGGAUUAUAUCUCCAAUUUGGACUUGUUCCGGAUACAUUCCACAUGGAUUCAUAGUCAUGAGUCUAUUUUCUAUGCUCAAAGACUGGACCAAUUAUUAUUCCCCGUAAGGGCUAUCAACCGAAUACUUGCGCCAGUCGGGAUUCAAUUAUUAUAUUUAUUUUGGAGUAUCCCAUAAGGGAUAAUCAUUCAGAUCAGAAGCUAUUCAUAUGAGCUACACUUGGUCUAUAUUACCCAGAAGAUUUAUUACUCGGGAGCAUGUUACAUGCGUCAUCCUUUAAAGGGUGUCGAAGGCAUAUUUUUUGGCCUAGGCCUAAUAUGUCUGCAGCCCAUAUUUUCAGGUGUGGCCUGUCACGUUCUUUUAGGGACUUAGGCACUUUUUGCUUAGGCCAAAGUGCGCGUGAUCAAGUGCCCAAUACCUUAAAAUCCUUUUAUACCGCAGUUACUUAACUUUUUAGGAGUUGGUACAAUGCAUCUUAAAAGGUGUCAAACAGUAAAGCUUUAUAUAGCUGUCCCGCUGACUUUUUUAUAUAUAAGUCAAGGUGCUGUUUGGGUUUUUAAGCAAUUGAUUAGAUACAAUAUCAUUGCUUUUCGCCACGUAAGUGUGCAUUUUUAUUGACCAAUGUUAUGGCUUAGGCUGAUUAUAUAUUGUGGUCAUUUUCUAGGCGGUUGGUAAAUCCUUUAUGAGUUUAUUUACUCAGAUUUUACACCACAUAUGCCAUAUAUUUCCAGGUGUGGUGAAACCAUGUGUCUUCUAGGGACUUAAGCACAUCUGUUAAAGCAGUGUGCGCAUGGCGUAUGCCCAAUACUUUGGAAAUUUCUUUAUUCACAAUAUACAAGCUUCUUUAUAGCUAUUUUGCUAUAUCACUCAUCAUAUUUUACAAAGCAGUUGGUAUAUCACUCGGAUCAUGUUAUUUGGAGGAUUCACACCGCAUAUGCUAUAUAUUGAUAUCAAGUCACUUGGUUGAUUACGAUUAUCAAAACCACUCGGUUGGUUGGAUUAUUUAUUCCUUGACUAUAUGCUUGGUUUGUUCAAUUAACCACAUUGUCGGGGGCUACACCUAUUAGGUGCAUCUAGUCGGUGCACCUGACUUUAUUUUCCAGCCCUCCACAGUCUUCAGAUUUGGUAAAAGUACUCGGGAGACCAUGACAAAGAUGAUUGAAGCACUCGGCUUUGGAGUAAUCUGGUUCGAGAGAAGAUUAUCUUUUCGACUGCGAAGGUCUCAGGGGCUACUGUGGAUAUUAUGGGUACCCCAUACCCAUACGGCAUGGUUAUCCGACCAGUCAUAGGGGAUAACUUAUAUCUAUAGAAUAUGUAAUAGAUCAUGACUCGGGUAUUACGUUUCCUUAUAUAUUACGGAACAGCCUAAAGUCCUGGUUUGAUAAUAUUGUAAAGUAGAUUUAGGAAACCGAUACCGUAUUGGUUAAGGUUUCUAUCUUGUAAUCCUGCCCCCCACCCUAUAUAAGGUGGGCAGGAGGCCCUCUAGGGGGCAUGAGACAACCUGAUCGUCAGAUCUAUAAUACACCCGGCGGAUUCAAAUCCCCAAACAGGAGUAGGGUAUUACCUCUCAUUGAGAGGGCCCGAACCUGUCUAAAUCCUUUGUCUCCACAUCCAUCCACUUUUAGGUCUCGUGCGCUACCCCGUUUUAUUAUUGCCGAAAUCAUGUUUCGACACCCUGGUUCUUCUAAAUGUCCUUUUUCCCCAUUACCGCUAUGAUCCGGUGUAACUGCACAACAGUUUUAAAAUUAAACAUUUACCAAUAUUGUGUCUGAAAGAAGUGCGCGAGACUUAACAUGGAUUUGAAUCAGAUGUGAUAGUGUGACUGCAAUUUAUGCAAUCUAUGACCGCUUAUUAGAUUGGGUCCAAUGGUCAAUAUGCACCCUGGUAGUGUAGAUCACUGUGGCAAAAAUUGUUUACUUUUGUGUUGGCACUGUAGCCAAUAAUCUGGUUCAUUCAUCAACAAAAUGGAUAUAGUCGCAAUUGCGUGCCAUAGCUUAACUUGUAGGCGGCUCUAUUAAUUCAAAUUGUGCCUUAACGUAGCAUAGAGGUGGACAAAAAGCGCAAAGCUCAUGGCUUAGAUCAGCUUGUAGCGAUCUCGACUCAGAUAGGCUCGAACUCGUAAUCUUAAUGAGUCAGGCCAGGUUAGAUUUUUAACUCAUAACCUUAACGAGCUAACUCGCGAGCUCCUCGUUUAGCUUGUUAGUACAAGAUAUCACCACAUCUUUAUAUACUUAGUACUUCUUAACUAGUGCUUAGAUUUUUAAUUACAUCAAAAUUAUUCGUAUUUAGUGAGUUCUUCAUUAGUUUGUGUUUAUUAUUAUGUUAAUAUAUGAUAAAUUUGAAAUUAUCGAUAUGAUAUAAAUGAGAUAGAGCUUGUUAACGAGCCUAAUGAGCUUAACAGCUCACGACCCGAACCGAGCUAGUCUUUUAGCUCAAUGUUAAUGAGCCGAGAUGACUCGUACUAAGAUAACGAGUUUUAACGAAUUGAGCCUUAACGAGUCUAGCUGGUUCGUUAUCCAGCCCUAUUUAGUGGUGGCUAACGAGCCAACUCGGCUCGACUUGUAAAAACUCGUUAAGUUAGCGAGCUAGCUCGGGUUGACUUGUUAACAUAAUGAGUUAAAAAUGGAAAGCGACUCGACUUGUUAAAAUAACAAGUUAAAAAUGAAAGCAACUCGACUUGUUAAAAAGCCCAAGUCGACUCAUUAAACUCGUUACAUCGAAAUACAUGGUUUAAAAUUCAUAUACAUGGGGCAAAGCGAAGUUUGUCCCUCGCGUCGACCUCGCGCGGCGGCUCGGGGGCGAAACCCUAGCCGCCACCGCCCCUCCUCCUCCCUCCUCCCUGCUUCGCCGCCGCCGGAGCUCGUCGCCGGCAAAGCCGGGCGACGCGCUGGGAUGGCGGCGGCGGGGUAAUCUCCCUCGACUCCAUCUCGCCCCGGCGCGGGUGUGGCGACGAUGGCGGCGGGACGGCGAGGUCGCGGCGGCGGGACGGCGAGGUCGCGGCGAUGGCGUGGUGGUGGGGCUCCCCGCGGCGAUGGCAGCGCGGCGGUGGGGCUCUGCGCGGCUCCGUUGAGGGCGUCGCCAGAUCUGGUAGCCCCGCCAGAUCUGGCCGGGGUACGACGGCGGCGCGGCGGCGGGUCUCGGCGUGGCCGGCGACGGUCUCGGUCGACGCCGGCGCCCUCGGACGUAGCAGGUGGCCAGCAGCUUCGGCGCGGUUUCAUCGGCGACGACAGCACCGGGUCGGCGGCGGUGCUCCGGCGCCGGCUGCCGCGUGGUCCUGGCCAGGGGCUGCCGGCCUGCUGCGGCUUUUGCCGGCGACGGGGAAGGCGCCUCCAUCUCCCUCCCUCCUGGUCCUCCAGAUCCGGUUCUCCCCUUCUUCAGUGGUGUUUCUUCCGGUGCUCUCUGACGGUGCGGCGUCCGCUCCCCUCUUCUUAGGUGCUCCUCCCUUCUUAGGCUAGGCUGCUUCCAGUCGAUGCCGGGGAGUUCCGUGGUUCGGUAGGGGUGGCGUGCGGAGUUGUUUCGGCAUCCUGUUCGCUGGUCGUCGGCCGCGCCGUUGUUUCCCUGCAGCUGGGUUCCUGGGUGUGAGGUGGUCUCUGGUCGAGCUGCAGGGUUGGCUGUUGAGGUGGAGUUGGAGCUGCUUGUCUUGCAAGCUCGGCAACGAUGACCCUCAACGAACGUCCCGGCAACGCGACGAGGGUUUUGAGGUGGAGCAGUUCGAGAGAGCCUUAGGUGAAAACCUUGCCUAGUGUCGUAGGCUCUCCAGACCUUCCAUUAUAUUUGAGAGAUGAAGUGAAUAAUUCAAGUCAUCAAACAAGCAUAAUGAAACAUCCGACGCCUCGAGAGAGGAAUUUUGGAGACAUUGCUGGGCCCUUAGCCUGCCAGUCAACUUCAGCCUGAGAUGUGCCCGUCAAACCACUCAAAGGCGGCGACCAGAUGUGUUACACAUUCAGGAGACUUGACAAAAAUGGCUAAAGAUCUACAACCUCUCAAAUAUUCCUAACUCAUACUCAUGUGAAUCUAGUUCCCAGGAUGUGCACUAGAUUCACACUUUCAUCUUAAGCAUGAUUAUACAUAGCAAACACAACUAAGAUGAAAGAAACUUAAGACUUACAACAACUUAAUAAUUACAUAGGCCAACCGGCCAAAUAGACUUAUUAGAGAACAGCGGAAGCUUGACUACCCAAUCACAAGCACACCGACUAGGGGUUUACCCUAUUAAGUUCUCAUCCUAGAAGAAGCAAUCGGAACCCGCAUCACUCAAAGACUAAGACUAAACCUGCAAACAAAAGGUUAUAUCAACAGCAAGAGUCAGUACAUUAAACAAGUUAAUGUACUGGCAAGCACAAGUCAAUCCUACUAUACUACAUGUAAGGCAUAUAUUCAAAGGAAGGCAAUAUGUAGUUCAAUUUCAGCAUAUAGCAAGUUUUGUUUUGCAAUUCUUUUGUAAAGGAGGUGAUGCUUCAAUUAACAAAGACAAGUUUUAAGUUUCAUUAUUAACUUCUUCAUAAUUCCAUCAUAAACAAUCUCUUAUUGCCAUACUUAACAAUAAGUCAUAAUGUAUCACCACAUACACAACUCAACACAUUUAUCAAUUUCAAACCAAUGUCACAUGAUCACAUUUUUAAAACAUAGUCUAUACUCAUGACACAUCACCAAAGCGCUCAUGACCGUGAGCACGGCUAAUCGAUUAGUUUAAAGAACUCUGCAGAGUUUGUACAGCUUUACCCACAUGAUAUGAACUCUCUAGUUUGUUUUGAGUUUGCAAGACUCCACCACACUCUUCAUGUUGAAUGUGAUCUAGAGGUCAUAACGAAGCCUUUACACUACUUAGAGCCUAGCCUUGCACCAGCACGAUACGUGUUCCUCCAUCCUAGGCAUACUUGGAAUAUACCUGGAACCGUUAAGUGGCGGGCCCACGCCUUAAACUUAACGCCGUGGUAGCGGACACGACGGGAACCCACCACGUGGCACAAUACCGUUGUAUUGGACACGCUUAGUCACCUAAACUACCACGUCGGGGUAAAUAGGAAGCUCCUCUGAAUUAUACGAACUCAUACACACCGGCCUACCAGAAUGCAAGGCUAGUCCUAAAUAGAUUAAUCAGCUUAGGCCAUCCCAUACUAGCACAUGUGGAUGUACGAAUAACUUUAAAUGGGUGACACAAGUUCGGUCCUUAUGGACUUGGGCAAACACUCCCCCUAUCGGUAUGCAACUAACACUAUAUGCACACCACUUGCUGCCCAAGUGUAAAAUCACAUUUUACACAUUUUAGUUCGCAAAUACCCAUCAUAUUCAUUUUAUUCCAGCAAAGGUUCAAGUAUCAAAACCACAUUUUAAUUAUAGAUGGAAUGAGCAUUUGCAUAUUUCUAAGCAUGGCUAAGCAAGUAAUUGCACAUAGAGCAUAUAUAAACCCAUAUGAGCACAAAGAGUGUACUCUAACCAUUUCUAGGGUUCAAACAGCAAGAGGAUCAAUUAUUCAAGGUGGGUUAUGCAGCAAAUAGGUCAUAACUACCUUAACCCAGUUUCAAAUACCGAUAUAGUCUAAGUUCACAUGCAACUUUGCAAACAAAUAUUUUCAUUCCUCAAAUCAUGGGAUCCAAUGUGUUCAAAGGAUGGGAGGAGAAAACUUGCCUUGAUCAGAGAAUUGUUAGCACCUAAUCCACUUCUUCACCGAUUAUGCAAUUAUCUAGAUAAAGGACACGACAUGCAAUUAAACACCGAAAGAGCUGAAAAUCCAAAAUGCUCUAAAAUGCAUGAUUUAUGCACAGUGGGUUGGAAAUGAUCUAAAAUGAAUUUAGGUGAAAUAAUUCCUAUUUUAUUUUAUUCCAUUUGGGAGUUAUGAAUUUUAGAAGUUUUAUCGGUUUACAAUAGUAUAGUCUUAGGUAGUGUUAUGAAAUACUUUUGUAAAAUGAUUUUUAUUAGAUUAGACUUCACAGGGGUGUGGAGAUGUGUUUUCUAAGACUAACACAUUUGGUUUCACAAUUUUUGGAAUUAUAAUGAAUUCUUUAUGCAUUUUACAAGUUAUAACGUGUUUUAGACAUAUAGUGUUUUAUAUGUUCAUGACUUUUGAGUUAUAGGUUCAGAACAUGCUACUUCCUGUUUAAGUUGAAUAAAAGGAAUAAUUUGGUUAACUAAAACAUUUUUAUCUCACAUGUUUAUGGUCUUUACUACUAUGGUUCAUAUUUUAUAAAGUAGAGAUGCUUUAAUCUAAACUAGCAAUAUAUUAUAUUAACCUAGAAAUUGUUAUAUGAGCUAAGUUCUUCUAAUUUUAGUGGAUGGAAAUGGAACUAUGGCUUCACUGGUCAAUCAAGUUUUUAUUUAGGUUUAAUUAGACCUAAAGUGUAUAUAUAUACUUAUACAUGUUUAUGUAUUACUUAAACAACACUAUGUGUUUAAAUUCUUAUUUCACUAAGUUAAGGUUUUGAUCAAUGUUCUCUACAAAAGGUGACAAAUUUUAUUUUACUAUGUUGAAGAUAACUAUUUGCUGGUUCUAUAGAAACUUUGUUCAUUUCAUUUGGACUAAAAAUAAAUUUUCUACAAGUUUUACAAAUUAAUGGCUGCUCUAUGUUAGUAAAUCCUUAUAUGAAUAUUUAGAGACUUUUACUACACAGCAAGUAUAUAAUCUUAUUUCAUAACAUGGAAAUACAUGUUUUAGUGAUCCUACAUAACUUAAGUUUAUUCAAAUUGAAGCUAAAUUGGGUUCUACAUGAAUUUCUAAAGUUUAGCUUAUCUAAAACUAAUCAUUAUAGAGAUAAUAGUUUUAGAGGCAUUUGAUGCAAAGUAAGUAAUUACUUUUAUUUCACUUAAUCAGAGACUGUAUGAUGAUGAAUCUGUAGAAUUUGAUUUUGUUUCAAAAUGAGUUGAAAUGAAUUUUCUAUGUAUUUUAUAAGUUUGUACAUGUUUUAUGUAUAACCUAUCUUAGAUAAAUUUUAGAGACAUUAUUUGUACAGUGAGUGUCAAGUUUUAUAUUCCUGGAAUAAAGUUCAUAACUUCAAGAAUCUACAGCAACUGGAAUAACUUCAAAAUGAGCUAUAUUUGAUUUUAUAUAGAUUUUACAACUUUGUGCAUUUUUCUGCUAAACAUAUAUUUGUUUGGGCAUUUUCCUAAUUUUUCUUCAGAUUUUAAAGGAUGGGUCCACAUGGCUGUGAGGGACCAAUAUGCACAAAGGCCCUUGAGGUUUCUAGGAAUCAACCCGCAGUCCUAGGCCCAUAUGUCAGUGUGUUUCUACAAUUGUAAACAGAUCCCUGCACUUAAUCUAAUUCACGGAAGUCAUCCCUCUGCUCUAGGCAGAGCAGAGCUAGCCAUGGCUGAGCUCGAUCUGGAGCUCGCCGGCAGCAAACGGUGGCUCGUUUGAGGUUGAGGUCAAAAGAUAAAAUGAAGAGCAAGCUCUCGCGAUUCCAUUCCUCUAGUUUUCUUGGUUAGAGGACAUCGGAGUAGCGCCGAUGGCGAGUGUGAGCGGCGGUGGUUUUGGGGUGAAAGUGCAUGUGUGCAUGGAAGUCGAUUACGAAUGAAAAGGAUGCAUGCAUGUGGUCUUCUAGACUUCAGGAUGCUCACCGUGGGUCGAGCUAGGGUUGUCGAGGUCUUGGCGGCAGCGGUGACUUGUGGAACGGCUCGGCGACGGCGCUCCUCCUCGGGUGAACGACGACGGCUCGAACGGGACAAUGAGCUGCUUCAAGCAAGCAUGCACGAGGGUUGUGAGGUCAAGGAGAUGGUGUAUGUGCAAGGAAUCGAACAAUGGCUCACCGAGGCAGCGGUAAUCGACGAUGACGGCAGAGGCGAUCCUAGAUUGGCGCCGGUGAAGAAAAGGAUGUGUUCUCCGUGUUCUUGAUGUUUCCGGCUGGGGUUCUUGAGGCGUUUUGAAGAGGAGGUUGAGGUGAUGACAAUGGCGCAGCGGCUUUCUCUGAGGUGGAUGAGAAUGGCCGGACGACAACGAUGGUUGAAGCGGCGGCGCUCCGGUGCGUGCUCCAGGGCAUCGUCGGCGUGGUCGCGUUCCGGUGGCUGUGAUACACAAAACGGGAGGUGGUCAAAAGAGAAAUGGUUCGGCACUGUGUGGAGAGAAGGGAACGCGGAAAACCUGGAGAUGACCUUUACCCAAUCAGCGAUGGCGAUGGUCGUCGUCUCCACGGCCGGCGGCAAGGUUUGGGGCGAUGGAGAGGCAGAGAACCUCCUCCCUCGGUUUCUUCGGCUCUGAGUGGUGAAUGGAGAAUGGCGACGCGUCUAGGAGGAGUAGAGAGCGAGAAAAAGGAAACCGAGAUCGACGACACGUUGCGGCCACGCGUCGGCUCGCUCAAUCUCUCCCUCUCUCGGCUGGAGCAGUGGAGGAAGUGAUGGACAGAGCUGAACCUAGCCUAAGGCACUGACAAGUGGGGCCAACUCGAUGGAAACUAGGCCAGGGAGAGAGAUAUGGGUAGAAGACUGGUAAACUGGAUUUUUAGAUUAAUUUUCGGAAUUAUUUUCUCCUCUAACUUUGUAACUACAUAAUUCAAUGUGUGGACCAAAUUAAUUAGUGUUGAUUUUACUGGAGGUAAAUGAUUACACCUAGAUUCCAUUUUCUUUGGUUGCACUCAAAAAUAAUGGGUGGACUGCUCACAGAAAUUAAACAAAGAUGGGCUAUUAGAAAGCUAGAUUGAAUUUUUAGGAGGCUUAAACAGAGAAGGAAAAUUCUAGAAAAAUUACAUUUAUUCAUGAUAACUAAUCUAGUAUUUGAAUAAAUUAUUUUCCAUGUUCACUGAUGUGCAGUUAAAUGUACUUUUGGAUGAAAUAUGGUUUUAGCCGAUUAAAAUUUAAUUUGAUUUCUUUUAGUUGUCUGCUUCGACCGAUUAAUUUGAGAUAUCAACUUGAGUGUUAACACGUUACCAAAUUACGGAGGAUAAGUUUGUGCUAAUCAUUGUCCACAUAAAUUUUUCCAUGAUUUUAUCUUGCACAAAAUAUUUUAGAGAAUUAAGUUGACCUUUGUUUGUAUAUGUGUUCCCACUUCAUAAUUGCAUCUAAUAUUAUUAUAGGGAUUACAUUAAACUUCUUUUAGACUGAGAAGAUGAUAUUUGAGUUUAAUAUUAAGUCCACAUGUUAUUACCCAAGAUUAACUAUAGGUUUGUUUAGUGAAGUAAUUCUUUUAGAUUAUGCUCAUGGGAUCUAUUAUGGAAUGCAAGACCAAAACUUCAAAUGCACAAAGAACUCGAGCCUAGGCAUGCAUUAUGUACAUGUAUGCUUGGUGACAUUUCUAGUCUAAUGUUGGGAAUGAAAAUGUUUUAUUUUGUUCUCAAAUUUUAAUCAUGCAAUGGUUUAAGUUGAUCAUCACCUAAAUUAAAACGGAAAUUUUUGGCUCUCAAAAUUGGAGAAAUUAACCUCUAACUAUUUUGAUAAGAAAUUUUAAGUCCUAAAAUUUCGGGUAUGUUACACCUAGUCUAUCCUAGGUUGAUGAUAUCGACGCUUGUGGGCGCCGUUUCCUCCUUGGAGGUGUCGUCAUGUUGGUUCUCUCUUCCUUCAGGUGAAAACCGGGUUCCUUUCGGAACGGGCGUUGACAGCAUCCUUAAUGUUGUUUCCUUGUUGAAGGCUUCGCUCAGAAGGUAUUUGCUCCACUAGAGGAUGUUUGGUGGUUCUGGAGACCUUGUCAUUAUGUUGUCGAAGCUGCUUGCCUUUUGGUAAGCUCGGUAACGACGACUUCUGUGAGGUCUCAUUAGUUGUUUCUUUUCUUUUCUGUAUUGGUUUUUGCCGGUUUCCCGUUUAAUUAACCGUGCUUGUUUGGUUUUCGGGCCCGGUUUCCCUUAUUAACUGGGCCAAUUCUCUUCUUCUAUAAAUUCCGGCAGGAGAAACUCCUGCCGUCGGUUCCUCGAAAAAAAAAUUCAUAUACAUAUAUAAAUCAUGAUUUGUGAGCCUAUGACCAAAGAUUAUGAUUGUCGUGCUAUGUAUCAUGACUAACAAUACAAGGAAUAAUUACGAGUUUAUUACGACCUUUACACUGGCAAAAUGUGGACAAUUAACUUAUAUCUUAAUACAUCAUGCGCUCAACGAGCUACCUCGAGUUGUCUCAUUAAACAAAUGAGUAAAAGUUCAAACUCAACUCAACUCAUUAACUGCCAAGUCGAGUUGAGUCGAGAAGAGUUUUACACAAAUUAAAUUGGGGCAAUAGCGCUUUUGACCCUGUUCUAGAACCUACCAAUUUGACCAUACUUUUUCAACUUUGCUCAUUUGACCCUCGUUUUUAAAACUGAAGAUCAGGUCUGACCCCCUUCUGUUAAAUCAACGUAACGGUGUGCCCUUCUUAUUCACACGUUUGUGCCGCCUACCUCCUUGUUUGGAACAAACAGGAGAAGACCGCGUCGCCAUCCUCUUCGAAGCAAGAAGGAGCAUCGCCACCACACAUCGUCCUCCCCGUCCAGAUCGAGGAACAGCGCCGCCACCGUCGCCGUCCUCCCGUCACGACGCGGCGCCGCCACGGAUUUACUCCCUCCGUCGCCGCCGCCGCCGCUACCGUCUUCCACGAGCUGGCGUGACCGCUCCCUCUCUCCACGAGCUGACGCCGGCACGGAUCCGCUUCCUCCGUGUCCCUCCGCCGUCGCUGCUGCCUUCCUCCACGAGCCGGCGCGUCCGCUCAUCCGCCACUGCCGCAACUCGCCCCUCCAUGCGCCGCCGCCGCACAGGAUAUAUGAGAGAGAGAAACGGUAGUGAAUGGGUAGGUUAGAUGUGGAUUGGUUUCCUUGAGGGUAGUUUGGUCAUUACAGUAUUUUUUUCUAAAAAAAAUGGAACCUUAACAGUGCGGUGGAAACAGGGUUAGACGGGGUGUUCAUUUUUGAAAAGCGGGUUCAAAUAGCAAACUAGAAAAAAAAAAGCUAGUUUAGUAGUUAGUCUUUCAAAUGAGGUCAAAUAAGUAAUUAUCCCAAUUAAAUUAGCUUACGAGUUUCGAGAUUUUUGACCAACCCCUAUUCACACAUAUCCAUCCAGCAUCAUAGACCCGGUUAAGCCCCUCCUAUUUGGGCAGGCCUACAUCCCGAAAAGGUGCUCCAUGGAAUGCCAAAACGCACCCGUCCCGGUUCCCAUUCCCAUUCAUAGCUAUCUACCACCUUUUUCGAUCGUUACGCAAUGCUCGCGCAAUAACGAAAUCUACCGCGUGCCAUACCGCCACGCAACUAGCUAGAUGCCACUCACUCGAGGUUAGUUAGGCAUGGGCAUCACAUAGCAAACUGGCCAUCCCAUAGCUUUCCUAGCUCCCACGAGACGACCCUGCACCCUGCAUGCGGCAGCACGGCGCACACGCUCCUUUCUUGAUCGUGCGCGUGGAGCCCAGACGUGACCGGCCGGAACGGACUCCGGCUUGGUUCGCCCUUGCACAGCACUGCACAAGCACAACCCGGUCGAUCAAUCGAUCGAUCAGUGAGUGCCGAAUAUUCCGCACCUACACGUGUUCACCGUUAUGCGAUGCACAAGUCUAGCUAGUGCACUUGAGGAAUAAUUUGGAUGCAUGUAUGCUGCUGCUGCGCUUUCGAAUGUCAGGAAAAAAAAACACAUGGGUGAUGAUCGAGUGAACAAUGUGUCUCAUCAAUCAGCUGGCCCUAAACGAACGAACCAUACUCUGAUUGCGUAGCAAGUACCGUGGGUGAUUCGAUUCGUGGAUUUUUCGUUCAAUACAAAGAGCGCUAACUGGUAACCUGGUGCGCUUAGAUAGGAGUAAUCAGAUACCACUGGUUAUCUGGUGCUUAGAUACCACAGGUUGGUCGACAAAUGUCCAGACCGUGUACACACCUGCACGCACCAAUGUGGCAAUGUGCAAAACACCCGGCCUCAACCUGUCGGCAAAUGCCCUCGAUCGGCAUCAAUUCCCUACCACCACGUACACCCCCGGGAAACGGAGAGUGACCGUCGAGCCGCUGGGAGGAGGAAACAACAACCGGACGAGAAGAAAGAACCAGAGCUCAAGCACCCAAACAAACAAAAAGUUCCCGGUUGAAAAUAACCUGCAGUAGCUUAGCUACUAGUAGCACUGUGAGCACUAGCUUUGUCCUGUUCCAAUCCAUGUCGUAGUACCGCUGGUGAUGCUGGUAGGACCGGCUAGAUGCAGGCCGGAUGCACCUACCUUCCUCCCCGUAAACAAACACGUACGACGUGCCAGCCCGGGACCCGAUUCGAUCGACCGGAUCAGGCAAAAAAAAUCAUACCAGCACGAAAAGCAAGCCAACCCCGCGAAAGCGGCCGCCCGGCAACCGCCGCUCCGUUCGCCUGCGGCCGCAGCAGCAGCCGCAGCGACCGUACGCUAGGAAAAAAAUUUUCCGAACGGCGCCAAACGCGCGAAGCUUCCCUCCGACCUCCCCCGCCCCGUCUCGCCCUCCGAUUUGGCGCAUGCCGUGCAACGCACCGGCCGCGUGCGCGUCGCGUCGGGGACGAGACGAGACGUCAUCUCGCCUCGGGUCUAGCUAGCCGGUGCAACGGCUGUUUCGCCCGUGUCCCCUCCCGCGCGUUGGCUUUCGUUCGGGCCAUCUGAUGAUGGGGAUCACGCUGUCACGCAGCACGCGCCGUGCGUGGCGCGGACGUGCCAGAAAAAUGCUCUCGCGUGCGUGCAUCAACGCGCGUUUCGGGUGGUGUGUGCCCGUGUGGAGUACGUAUACAACCUUUUUCCUGGUUCGCGUCAGUGCUUGGGAAGAGAUAACUGUUUUGUGUUACAUCAGGUGAAUUCAGGGUUUUUUUAUGGCAGGCAGCACGUUCACGUUAAUCGGGGAUAGACUAUCACCUAUUGGAAUUGUCAUAUGCGGUGCAUCGGUGUGAAUUAAUAUCUCGGUUCGUAAUCGUGAUUGGCUGGUGCGUUCGUGCUUACUUUAGAGCUCGUCGUGCCGGGACAAGAUGUUUCACUUCACGGUCUUCACGUCCGUGGGUGAUGACGUAUAGAUGAAAGCCUAAGAAAUUUAGCCUUUUAUUGGUCUUUUGUUUAAUCAACGAGGUAGCUGUCGAGCUUUAGGGGUGCCACGUGUACGUCCAACCCAGAGAAAUUUAGCCGUGGAUGUAGAGCCGCUGGUGAAAUGAUCGAUGUUUACUGGAGUUACGACUAGGUCAUUUGUUUGGAAAAGUAACCACUAACCAGUCAAGGUCACUGGCCAUCUGGCUCCACCUGGACAGAUUGGACGCACGCACUUGAAGUUUUGAAUAGUUCAUGACGUCUUUUUUAGUGCUUUCUUCUCUAAAUCUAAGAUGAGCAUAAUAUAUACUGUAAAAUUUGGUCAAAUCACGUGUAGGUGCACCAGAUGAUGUAGGAGUAAUUAUGUAAUGCACCGUGCGUAAUCGGUUACGGAACUGGGUAGUAGGUUUACCGAAUUGCACCAAUCCAUUGUUGGACUAGAUGAUGCAAUCGCCUUGUGAGCUUAUUUACGAACAAUAUGAUCUUAUAUUUUCUCCGUUCAAGUAUAUAAGGGAUAUUGGCCUAAUCCCUUAUCUAAAUAUAUAAGCAAUUUUACAAUCCCAAGACAAUGUUUAUCUUCUAUCCAUCAAUGAACUCAUGCACUAGUUUAAUCCUCACUUAACAACUUUGGUACUACUCCCUCCAUCUACUUUUGAUAGUUAUAUUUUCAAAUCUGAAAAAUUUAUUUUUGAUAGGUAUAUUUCAAUCAAACAACCUAUCAUCUUAAUGGCUUUCUUGGAUUUAAUACGUGACUCUCAAUUCUUUCACAUAAGAUUGGCUCUAUGGGCAUCGAGAAAUGUAAAUAUUAAUAAAUCGCUUGUUUACGAGGAAUGACUAGUAGCAUAUUUAAAUAGAUGAUAAGUAGAAUUAUCUAUCAUUGGUCUGUCUGCCAAGAUAACAUAUGACUAUCAAAAGUAGAUGAAGGGAGUAUUAGUUUAUUUUUUCAACCUUUACCUUAUGUACUGGUUUAUUUCCUCAACCAUCAUCUUUUAUACUAUGAUUUAACCCUCUUUUAACUUCCUUAAUUAUUCUCAAAAUGGCAUAAUACCAUGUAUUUAAAGACAGAGAGUACUUUGAUCGCAGAUCAUUCAGAAAGAAGGUCUAUUUUUGAGAUGAUUCAGGCAGAAAGUUUCUUUUUUUUGAGAGAGAGGAAGGCAGAAAGUUUCGACUUUCGAUCAUCUGGUAGCAAACCCAGCAAAACUUCAGCUUACAAGGUGAGCGUGAACCCGACAGGUCGUCGACCCUUCGGCUGGAUGGAGCAGCAGCUAAUCGCGGUUACACCUUUGGGCCCUUUCCUCGGUUGGGCCACUGGAAGGCCGUAGUGCUGCUCAUUGUAGCCAUUGGGCCAGUGUCACAUGGGCUUACAAUGAAAAGCCCAUGUUCUCCGAAUGAAAAAAACGUACAGAAGCAACGCCGUCUUUUCAGCUCGGAUGUCUGAAAACUCCUAAAACCCCAAAGCAGCCAGACCAGUACACACACCAUUUUGCUUGUCAAUGGCCGCCGCCGCCGCCGAUCCCCUCGUCGCCGGCGCCACCGUCUCCUCCGACUCCGACUCCGACUCCGACGAUCUCCACCUCCUCCUCCCGAAUCUCCUCCCUUCCGCCGCCACCGCCGCAUCAGACGCGCAGCUCCACCACUUCCACCUCCCCGCGCUCCCGUCCCCUAUCACCGUCCGCACCCUCCCUUCCCUCGGCCUCACCUUCCAGCUCUGGCCAUCGGCCUCCACCCUCCUCCGCGUGCUCCCCGCCUCGCCGCUCCUCCUCUCGCGCGCGCCCACCCCGGAGAGCCCGCUGGGCAUCCUCGAGCUCGGCUCCGGCACCGGCGCCGCGGGCCUCGCCCUGGCCGCGGCGCUGCCCGCCCACGCCGUCCUCUCGGAUCUCCCCGCGGCGCUCCCCAACCUCCGCCACAACGCGUCCCUCAACGCGCCCCUCCUCGACGCCCGCGGCGGCUCCGUCUCCGUCGUCCCGCUCCCGUGGGGCGACGCCGCCGCGAUGGAGGCCGUCGCUGCUCCGCCGCCGGCUUCUCGGUUCGACCUCGUCGUGGCGUCGGACGUGGUGUACUACGAGGCGUUGGUUGACCCCUUGAUUGAGACGAUGCGGUUCUUCGUCAAGGGGGAGGUGGUGUUCGUGAUGGCGCACAUGAGAAGGUGGAAGCGCACGGACAAGAAGUUCUUCGCCAAGGCGAGGAAGCUGUUCGACGUCGAGGUGGUACACGAGGACCCGCCGCUCGAAGGGUGGCGCCAUGGCCCGGUGGUCUACCUCUUUACCGAGAAGAAGCGGCGUGACAAGAAGUGAAGAAGCUCUUCCAAAAGGUAAUGACUGCCUGCUCGAUUGUGUUCGUCAUGUGUUCUUUCUGUUUGUUGUGAAAGAUCAUACUGUUAGAAUUCAAACAGAGAAAAAAAACUGAGGGCCAAAACUUGGUUGUGUGGUUGCAUAUGGAUUUGGAUGUGUCAGGUGCUAUCCUUUGUUUUAUUUAUGGAUUCUAGUUAAUUCUCAUGGAGUCACAAUGAAGUUUAGGAUUUCACUAUCUUAGAAUAACCAAUCUAAUAAUAGACGAUAUGAUUAUGAGGUGGUAGUAGCAGUACAGGACUUUAUGAUUGGCAAGGGACUGCCGAAAUUUGUAGUUUGAACAAGACAAAGUUUUUGGUUCUCAAGAACACAAGUCUAGCAUGUCUUCGUACUAGCACUUCAAAUGGUGAUGGACGGUCUCUAGAGAAAAGAUCAAUGGCACAAUUCCUCUGCAUGCAAGGAAGGAAUGACAUAAAACAUUAUGUUACUUAACAUGGAAAGUUUUUUGUUCUUUUGUGUUACUUUUAUGGAAUUGAAGUGGAGGCCCAAGAAUUAUGUGUUCCAUUGCUGCUAUUUUCCUUCAAAUUGUUCAUACAUUUAGUAGUAAGUUCCUUUUGUUAUGGGAAUAAAACUGUAGAAAUCCAUUUACACGAGGAACUGACCUUUUUCUUGUUAACAUGCAAAGCUAUCAAUAUAUUGAAAGCGAGAAAAUCAGUACAUUACAAAUUAACCCCAAGAGAAUGCAGAUACACAGGCUUACACCAUGACAUUUAGCUAUGAAACAAUAAUUGAAUCAGGGAUGUUCACAGCAUUUAGCUAGAGUCAAAUACACGUCUGUUUGCAGUUAAACUUGAGUGCCUCUCAAAAACAGUCAGCACUGCACAAAGGCAAACAUGAUAACACAAUAGGAAUACACGGCAAACCUAGUAACCAACCUCUGGCAACCGAACAGAGGGAGGGGCACAAGAAUCAUUGGUUGCACUGGACGAGCUCGUAUUUCCAUAACUGUUCGGCCUUUCCAGCUCCUUCAGUGUCCCAUUAGAUGACUGUGAAAAUCUGCAGAGAGAAAUUGGUGGUGCAAAGUACAUUGCCACUGGCAUCUUUGGUGGAAGGUCUGGUAAUGGUGCUUCAAACUUCAGUACGCUUAUGACCUGGCGAAUUGAAGGCCGGAUAUUAUAAUCUGGGUGUGCACACCAAAGUCCAACAACCAUCAAGGAAAUAACUUCCCGCUCUUCAAAUUCACCAUCAAGCCUUCCAUCAAUUGCAUUAAGUAUCUCAUUUCUUCCAUAAAGAUCCCAAACCCAUUGAACCAAACUGAUCCUGUCAUUAUCUUCCUUUGGCACAACGGGCCUCCUUCCACAAGCUAUCUCCAGAGCAAGAAUGCCAAAGCUGUAGACAUCAGUCUCUUUGCUUGCUUUCCCAGUAGUGACACACUCUGGAGCCAUGUAACCCAUGGUCCCAGCUAUCACUGUAGUUUGUGAGCCUCGGUCAUGGUCUACAAGCCGUGCGAGCCCAAAGUCCCCAAGCUUAGCGUUGAAUCCAGAAUCAAGCAUCACAUUGCUUGGCUUGACAUCACGAUGCACGACACAUUGUUCCCACUCCUCGUGGAGAUACAGGAGGGCGGAUGCAACACCUAUGGUUAUCUUGAACCGCAAUGGCCAUGCUAACAGGUUUCCACCAUCAUAGAGGUGUUUGUCCAAGCUCCUGUUUGGCAUAAACUCGUAGACUAACAAGAACUCUCCAUGCUCAUGACACCAGCCCACAAGUUGCACAAGAUUCCGAUGCCUUAGUCUGCUGAUGAUCUUGACCUCAGAGAUGUACUCCUUCCUCCCCUGUGUUGACCCUUUUGCAACUCGUUUUAUGGCAAUUUCAAUGUUUUGAUCCUUCAAGAAACCCUGGUAUACUGCACCGAAACCCCCUUCUCCAAGCUUUCUCUCUGCAGCAAAAUUAUCCGUCGCCACUACGAGUUCAUUGUAUUGGAAUCUCCUUGGCCCCUUGCCUUUCUCAAACUCACUGUCAAUGGACUCAUCACAGUCUAGUUUCUCUUUUUCCUUCUCUCUUGACCUUGUAGUCCUUCUAAUCCUUCUAAAACAUAAAAAGAAGCAAACCAAGCCAAUUGAGCAGACCACAACACUACCGCUCGUAGACAAGCUUAUGACCAAUAUACCUUUUGUUUUCUCAGUCUUCAUCAGGUGCACAUCUGUAGAAUCAAAUUCCCAGUAAAGAAUCUGGUGCAGCUCUACAAAUUUACCUGUGGAAGCAGAGAAUCCGAUGGACACUUUGUCAGGGAGAUAUUUGCUGAGAUCAACCGAAUAAGAUAGGCUGGAGUUGCCACUGAAUUGUGGGUUGUCCUGGUACGACAAGAAGACACUCAAGUUCCUUGAAUUUGCCUGGUAAGUUACCCAAGCAUUGGCUAUCCGGCCAUCGUUGAUACUACUUCGCCAUGUCACGUUGGCUACAGAUACAAUUGAGUGGAUGUUGAUGCCUACAUGGUUGCCAUCUGGAUCCCAAGUGUUUUUGUGGCUGUCAAACUCAACAGCCACAAUCUGGUUGAGUGGAUCGCUCUGAUCAUUACUAUUGCUGAAGAGGCCAAGAUAACCAUCCAUGGAGUUAUUGGGGACCACAGAAGGGUAUGAUGAGAGGAAGAAGGCUAGGCCCUCACCGUACGAACUGUCGUUCGUGGGUGCAUAUAUCUUGAACGUGAAGCGGGUUGUGAAGCUGGCUAACUGACCGGUGGUGCUAUCCCAGAGAGGCACUGGAUCGGUGUAGAUUGCUCGGCCUACGCUUUGAGUGAUCUUUCCAUUCAACUCAUCCUUGGUGAGCUUGACCGCCUUGUUGUAGAAGGCAUCCUCCUGGAGCUGAAUUGUGGCUGAUCCAUUAUGAUUUGAUUCAGUGAAGUUCAACUUGAAGGACAGAGGAUUGACAUGGGCAAUUUUCAGGGAUAGGGAAAAGUAGAGAGCCAAGAGGCAAGUAUAUUUGGUUCUUGAUCGCAUGGUUGGAAUCCUGGAGGCUGGAGAGAGAGCAGGAGGGAGAGAUGGAAGGAAGGAAAUGAAAAGACACUACUUUUGCAGACCUGAUAACCUGUAUAACCAUUAACUUGGUCAAUCUCCUUGAUUGUCUCAGCAAUACUUGGUGCUAUUAAAGGGUAGUAUCAUACUGCCGGCCUGUCAAUAGGCCCUGAAAGGACAGAUGUAAGCCACAGGAGAAGCAGCUCAAAUUUGGAACUUAACUAAGCUUUCCAAAAAGCUAGAUGAAGCUUGGUUUGUAUCGUCUUUGCCGGCCAAGAUUAUGAAGUCAAGUAUGUCUCGCCCAUAAUAUGAUUAUGGUGGUUGCCGGCAGAAAAGGAGGUUAUCUCCUCUCAGCAAAUGGAACAUGUAUUUUCUAAGGCAGAAUUGGACUGAGUUCAGACAUGCACAGAAUCUGCCAAAAGGAAAGCUCUUAUCGAUCUUAUAUGCUUAACAAACUGGGUCAUGAUGUAAUUUUUGUCUUUCAUGCGGCAUACAACAAUUUCAUGCAGCACAGGAGAGUUUAUUAAUACAUAUAGCACAAUGAUUUACCUUGUCCUUAGGGAUCAGUUCGAUGACAACUUGACAAGCAGUAAAUAUUUCUUGACUGUAAUCUCUAUUCUGGAGUUGGCACAAAUCUAUUGAGUUAUGGCAACCAAGAUCAGACGGCAGAAGUGAAGUAUAUGGCACUAUGAUAUAUCUUGCUUGUGCACUGAAAAAAGGGUUCAAACAUGGAAAAUUAACAAAGCGACCACAGCUUAUGUAUUUCGCAUAGUGUGUAGUACACAAGGAUCAGCAUCAUAAUCUCAGUAACUAGAAGAAAAUAUACACCAACUGUUCUUUUUACUAGGAGAAUAUACAUCGAUUGUUCUAUUCAUGCAGGGCUACUUAUAUACACAAAUGAUUAACUCAAAACCUGCAAGGAAUAUUCGUAAAGUACAUUAUUGAGUGGAUCUGUCAUACUCAACAUGAGUUUCAAGUUUGCUGCCAUGAAUCGAUCGUUCAUUUCGCCGUGUCGCUGGUGUUUGUGUCGUCCGUUGGCCACGCUACAGUUUCCAUUAACCUCUGACGCAUUAUCUCCAGAUUCUCAUUCGAAAUCUUCUCGUACAUUUUUGCAUGGUCACAUUUCUGCAUUGAUGAAGAGGUAACUAAUUAAAUAAUUUAUGCAUCAAAGAUGUCUCAAAUUACUCUGGAAUAUCUCACUCUUUUUUAUUACCUUGAUCCAUUUGCUGUACAAGUGGAGUCGUGUGAUCAUCACUCUCUCUGCCAAAUCUUGCCUCUCCUGGUGCAUACGAAGUCAAAUUAAUUAGAGAAUGAACCUUGGCACAAUGCUGAACAUCAUAUAUAUUUUUCUUCAUUGCUUAGUAACAAGAUGCAAAAAGAUACCUUUGCGAGUGCGAUGAGGAAAUGUUUGCCCUCCUUUGGAUCGUUAACCACGACGUAGCUGACAAAUCGUAAGUGUUCGUAUUUUAGACGCUAAGGAUGCAGAUUGGAACUGACACCAACAUUAACCUAUUCUACUUAGAUUUCAUUUCAACAUAGCACAAUAUAUCAAUGUGAGAUUUUCUUGCAAUGGGGUGACUUACUUAUACAGCCAAGUAUAAGCAGGUGGAUUCAUUUCAUACAACUGGUGGAGCACCGUGCUUGUGGCCUUGUAAGUGAAGUAAUUCAUGAUUUCCUGCAAAAUGGAGAGAACAAUCUUCAGAGUUCCAUGCAAUCUAAACCCAAUUAACCUUGCAGUUAGAGAAAAUUAACCAUUAUAUUGCUGUCGUUUACAGAUAGCGUUCCGAUUAUCCCCUGCCGGUUCAAAAAAAAAGAAAAUCGAAAUCAGUAGUGUACACGCACCGUGUGCACGUCUUCGAACCCCUCCUCGUACUGCCCGGCGAACUCGUCCACGAUGACGAGGCCGCGGCGGCCGGGCCUCCUCCCCCUCCGCCGCGCCGCCCGCGCCACCGUGCGCCGCCGCCUCACCCCGACGACGACGCCGCGGGACCACGGCAAUGGCGCCGCGCGGCACGCGGAGGAGGAUGAGGACGAGGAGGGAAGGCAGACGACCGCGGCGGCCAUCCGCGCGACGGCAGCCAUCGGCGGCGCCGCGAAGGAGAGCUAGAGAUGUUUUUUUCCCUCCCGACGGCUCGACGCCGGCUGCGACGAUGCGAGCCGCGGCGGGGUUCUGGAUAGGCAGCAGCGGUGGAUUUUUUUUGCUGAGGCUUUGGCUGAUUCUGUCCGCGAAAACAGCGCGUUUCAUGGGCUUCCUGAGGGCAAACGGGAGACCCCACGUUCGCGCCGAUAUUUCGUCCGGCAGCUCGCUGAUUGGUGGCGGAAUGGCGACGAGAGAUGAUUCUAUUUGCCUCUCUGUAUUUUCGCGAUUCCCUUGAUUCUUUUUUUUUUUGGCUUCAGAAGUACAUUUCUCUUUCAGCCUUUUCCUUUUUUUUUUGAGAAUAUUCACUUUUAGCUUUUUGUGAGAAUGUAAUUUGUGGAAUGCAUGACUGCCACCCUAAAAUAUCUUUUCUGAUAGUGAACACCAAAGUAAGGGCACUUGCGUAUGUUUAUCAUAGUGAAAGAAUUCAAGUUCUACAUUUGAUAUUAAUGUUUAUAAGUACAUUAUUUGAUAUUAAUGUUUAUAAGUACAUUAUUUGAUAUUAAUGUUUAUAAGUACAUUUUACUACAAGACAUCGCAAAUUCGUGAUUUUAGUUAUGGGACACCACAUGAAAUCACUUUUGGGGUAAGACACUAUGUAAUCUUGGUUAUUUGCUAACGGGCACGGCUCCCAUUUAUUUAGCGUUUUAGUGUUGACUAUGCAAGAGCUGUCCACUUUUUGAUGCGCUGUGACCAAAUUGCCCCUGCCCAUCCUCAAAUUGACUCACCUAUCGGCUGGCGCCGCUCUUCGUCGUGCAGUUCAUCCAUCUCGCUUCAAUCCUCGAGCUUCGCCUCCACUCACUCCUCACCUCAGACACUGUCACUCCGCCGUCACCGCAUCCUCCCCACCAGCCUGCUCUCCUCCCUCCCGACACCAUAGGCGCCACCCGCACCCACGUUGGUCGAGGCGCUUCCUUCCCCUCCACCACCGCAAACCUCAGUAUUAGGAGCAGGAGACCAGCCUCUACCAUGGUGUUGCUCGCACCCACAUCAGUCAUGGCGCUUCCUCCCCUCCACUACCGCCGUUGCGGCGGUAGAACCAGCAUGACGAGAAGGGCCUCCACCACGGCGCCACAUGCACCCACAUUGGUCGCGACACUUCCUCCUCCUCUACUGCCACAAGACAAGCGCCGUCGCGAGCCUAGCAGGAGCCCAACCCACCGCCGUCGCCCAAGCCCCCUUCCGCAGAGGAGUUGGGCUAGGGUCCACCUACCUCGUGGAGGUCAUGUCGGCGUGGCUCGUCAGCUUCUACCUAGGAGCCUAGCAAGGGAGCUGAGGGGAGCCGGACCAAGCCGCCACAGCGGAGGUGGAGGAGGCGAGGAGGGAGGGCCAGGGUGGUUGCUGAUGGCGAGCAGAGGUGGCACUGUGGCUGGAGUGUGAGAAGGACUGACCUAGGGAUAUUUUUGACGUUUCAUGUUGUUUAUCUCUCCUAUUUAGCCGGAAAUUAAUAUUUUAAUGACUAUGGUGUCCAUAAGAAAAAAAACCACAUUUUGAGAGUGCCUUCCCCUAAAGAUCGACUUUUGACGUGCCCUAGAGUUAAAAACCACGAAGUUACAGUGUCCUACAGCAAAAUUUGCCAUGUUUAUAUGAGCAUCUCAUUUGUACUAUGUUUUGAAAAAAAUCUUGUUCUAACUGAGACUUUAGCUUAGACCCUGUCACGUAGAAUGUUUUGAUACUAAUUUAGAGUAUUAAACAUAGCUUACUUACAAAACUAAUUGCAUAAACGAGAGCUAAUAUGUGAGACAAAUUUUUUAAGCAUAAUUAAUCUAUAAUUAAAGAAUUUUUACGGUAGCAUCAUAUAGGAUAAUCAUGGAUUAAUUAGGCUCAAUAAAUUUGUCUCGCGAAAUAGUCCAGAGUUAUGAAAUAGGUUUUAUCAUUAGUCUAUGUUUAAUACUUCUAAUUAGUAUCAAACAUCCGAUGUGCCAGGGACUAAAAUUUUUUAACCCCAUCCAAACUCCCCCUUAAGAAGCCCAAAUCCGAACACAACGCUUUGUAGCUGACUAGCUUAGACCUGAGGGCCUGUUUGAUAUAGCUCCAACUCCUAAAUAUAAGUCCAGGAGUUUAGUCUGGAGUAGAGUUGUGGAGCUGCCUAAACCCACCUCCACAACUCUAGUAUAUUUUGUGAGAGAGCUCCACCCAACUCCAUUCCUAAUUUUGGUGGAGCUGAAACUGUUUGGCUGAGCUCCAGCUUCAGAAGGGAUGGAGCUGGAGCUGAAGCUGUACCAAACGGGCCUGACUCUGAGAGGAAAGGCCUGACUCCACGGUCCACGCGCACCGCAUGGCGUACGCGCGAAAUGGUUCACGGACUCGCGGUCAUGCACACCCGCGAAAACCUGCGCUAAGCAAAAGCACCGGAAAAGCAACGGCACGAGCCCGUGCCCCGUGAGGCAAUGAACCAAAUUGGCGGCCGCGUCAACCACGCCACCGGGACGCGCGCGACGGCAAGAAAAAGAAGUCGCGAAGUCGCGGAUUCUGCAGGCCCCCACGAGACCACGGUUUCCUACGGCCGAUCUCGCGGGGACGCAGCCGGAGACGACGCGGUCGGUCGCGUCGCACCCCACGCCCCGGCCGGUUAGUGGACCGAUUCCCGCACCGGCACACCGCGCGCGCACCGCGUCUUCUUCUCUAUCGCGACAAGUCUGGCUUGGUCAUCGCGUGAGUCGAUCGCCUCGUUGCUUUCCGUGGCCGCGUCCGUCGCCGCCUCGCGCACCAGCGAAUCCGGACGUCGACCGCUGCCUGCGGAUGUUGUGGACAGCUCACAGUUGGUGUUCCUCUGAAUGCACAGGCGCCGUGGUUCCUCUCACUUGGUGUGCAAUUUACCGUGAAAUCCCAGUGAGAUAUAACCUACGUCUUCGUAACGGUCUCCCGUCUUAACUCCGAGUCUCUGACUAACCGUGAACCUGAUGAUGCAGUUGCUAGCCUCAUCGCGUGCGACGAAAUAUCAAAUGAUGUCGUCCGUGUUUAGAUGACUUCUUUUGUACUCCUGCACUGUCUGUCGAUGUCAUGGCAGUAGGUGCCUCCUUUCACCGACUCCACCUGCUCCAGAACAAAGCAGGUACCAACUGUUACAAGGAAAAAAAAAUCUGUAUUUUCCAAUACUGUCUAUUUUUAUUAUCUUGCUUUGAAUACUAACCGGGUAUUUAUUUUGGAUUAUAGAAAAGAAGUACACACCAUUAUGCACACACUUCAAAUAUUCGUAAGCCAGUAGAAAACGGAAUUGUGCAGGUGGCAAGCAUUCUCUUUUCUAAAAAAAAAAUCAAUAUCAUAAAUCACAUUCAUUUUUCUAAAAUAUUUAAUUUAUUAUUAAAAUUAAAUCAAGUAGAUAAUAAUACAUGGUAAUAAUUCAAUGAAUAACCCAUGCCAAAUAGAGUCAACAACAUUGUUCACGUUUUCGACAAAAACAAAAUGAAAGCCACCAAAUUAUAAGGUUUCGACGUUGAACACAAGCAGAUUCUAAGUAACUUUUCAAAUGAUUUUCAAGAAUUUAAAUUUGAAAUAAUAAAUUUGAUUGGAAUUUAUCAAGGUUCAUGAAAACCGUCAUAAGAUCGGGAUCCAAUGCUCAAUUGAAAAUGUGAGACCCUGCCAACAACGGCUGUGUUUAGAUCCAAAGUUUGAAUUCAAACUUCAGUCUUUUUUCAUCAUAUCAACAUGUCAUACAUGUAUAACUUUUCAGUCGCAUCAUUUUUAAUUUUUUAAAAAAAUUUAACUUUACGCUGAACUAAAGACAGCCAACGAAUCAAAGAGGGUUAUAGCCAUCCCGGCCGUUUUCGGCCCGGGUCAAAACGUUAUGUAUGCUACUCGAUUUCGUGCCCCCACACCCUUGACGAGCGAGCCUUGCCCUCUUCUCUUCCCUUCUCUCCUACCGGCGGCAACUACCGGGAAGCCGCCGCCGACCGCCGGAGCGGAGUCGUCGCGGCGGCGAGGGCGAAUCGGUAACCCCCCCCCCUCCGGAGUUCCGGGAUGGGGACGCCGGAGUUCCCCAACCUGGGCAAGCACUGCAGCGUCGGCGACUGCAACCAGAUCGACUUCCUGCCCUUCACCUGCGACCGCUGCGACCACGUACGUCUUUCCCGUCUCCUCCCCUGGCCGUUUUCGUGUCUCGGUGCCUCGUUGCCGAAAUCGGAUUUGCUGCUGCGGUAGUUUUUAAGGAAAUUUGUUCUUCUGUAGAUUGUGGAACCAAAGAACUGAUUCUUCCUGGAAUUUUUGCUUGAUAUACGGUUUCUUGAAGUAGAUCUUGGAAAGCACCUAGUUUAGGGAAAAUCUCGUCUGGGCUUUAGCCUUUAGGACAGUGAUCCAUCACAAUCGAGGAGAUGGAGAAGGGAAAUUCAUGCCAAUGCCUAGGCAGCACGAAUGGAGAUCUUUUUUUGACCGUUUGGUGGAUGAGAGUUGAUGUGUCUAUCGUUGACCGAGAACAUGAUGACCCUUUCGGUGAUGCUCUUGCAGUUUUGCGCCCUUUUGGAUAAUUAGUUUCAUCUACUAAUUGAAUGCUAUGUAGCCAAUCACAUAAUUGGUCAGAAUUGUUGCUUCAAUAAGAAUGAAAUUGAUCUCAGACAAAAUCUGAAACUGGGCUUAAGAAUGCAAUGGGUAUGGUUUCAAAUUUGGAACGGGGAAAAGGAGGAUUUAGUUGACAAGGAGUCCUUCAUUGUUAGCUUGUUGCCUAUGGUUGAAUGCACAUAAUGAUAGGAAAAAAAGAACUGAAAAACAGUAGUGGAAGUGUGGUAUUUAUUCACAAUGCCAUUCAUAUCUGUAUUUUGUGCCAGAAACAUGCCCUCUAGUCAUUGUACUGUUUCUUUGUUGCCCUCUAGUUUCUUUCGUUGACAUCACAGCAUGCAGCUCCACUGGAAUCAUGACACUCUGGAAUUACACACCAUAUAGGAGUAUGCGUUAUUGCAGUGUUCAAGCAUAACUCAUCCUGAGUAGCACUCCAAGGUCUUGAGUUCAAAUCUCCAUAGGAGCAAAUUUCAGAUUGGGUUAUUUGAGGGCUAAGUUCCCUGUUUGAUAGGCUAAGUUCCUAAUUUAAAAGGCUGCAUAUAUCCGGUUGGAUGUAGAGGCCGGAUAAAAAAUACCCUUCUCUAAAAAAAAAAGCAUAACUCAUAGACAUUUUGGGUUCAAAAUUUUUCCAUAAUUUAUUAUUUUUGAAUCCUUUCCACUUCAUGGCUUCCCGAAUGUAAAGUAACAUUGCAUCAACAUCCAAUUGGCAGCACUGACAUGGUUAUUUGAUCAUUGUUUAGGUCUUUUGCCUUCAGCACCGAAGUUAUACAUCGCAUCAGUGUCCAAAUGCAAAUCAGAAGGAUGUGACUGUCCUCAUCUGCCCACUCUGUGCUAAAGGAGUUCGCCUGAACCCGAACGAAGAUCCAAACAUCACCUGGGACACCCAUGUCAAUAGUGACUGUGAUCCAUCAAAUUACCAGAAAGUAACAAAGAAAAAGAAAUGCCCAGUGCCUGGGUGCAGAGAGACACUGACAUUUUCAAACACAAUUAGAUGCAAAGAUUGCACCAAAGAACACUGCCUGAAGCAUAGAUUUGGACCUGAUCACAAGUGUCCAGGGCCAAGAAAACCGGAAUCUACAUUCCCCUUCGGAAAUAUGCUUAGGAGAAGUCAGAAAGCAGAAUCAUGUUCAAAUUCAAACAGCAGUAGCACUAGUUCAUCCUGGUGGAGCUCUAGUCUUCUUACCGCAGCAACGAGUUUCAAAUCAUCUGCUGAAGCUGGGAUGCAGAAAUUGAGCACAGCAACUACCCAAGCCAUCCAGAAGGCUAAGGAUGGGAUCUCGACAAGCAGCAGUAACAGCGGUGAUCUCGUGGAGCAAUGUGUUCAGUGCCCAGCAAGAUUUUCCACCGUGGGGGCCUUAAUCGAGCAUUGCGAAAAGUCCCAUCAGAGCAACUCGCAAUCAAGUCGUAGCAGAGUGACGGUCGAUGUCUGCCCGAAAUGCAGCAAGGCAUUUCGAGAUCCAGUGUUGCUUGUGGAGCAUGUUGAGAGGGACCAUGGAGGAACGUCAAGAGCGUAGAUCUGCUUAUGUUUACUGUACCUGUGUAACCUGUAAUUUGCUUCUCAUUGGUCAAUGGUCAUCACACUCAAUAGGAUUUGGUUGGAUUGUGCUCUAUUAUUACGGUUGGGUUCAAAAUGUGCCCAUGAAAGAAGGUAUAGUUUGUUGGCUGUUUCAAGGCAAGCCAUUGUGAAUUGAACCUCAUUCUAGACACCAGGAAAUCAAAUUUCUGAUUAGUUAAAACAAUGCGUCGUUUAGAUGGCUAUGCUGUUGCAAGUUACAAAUAUUGCCUUCUACCAGUUUGUUAAUGGUGAAAUGGAAUUCAUAACCUCACCGUGCAUGCACAGGAAUCCACUGUAGUUACAUUACCUGUCACCAUUGACAACCCUUGCAACAGGGAACAUCAUCCUUUGGUCUGCUGAAUAAAGGCGAAGGAUUAUUUUCACAUGGUUUGCAUCCCAGAUGCUAAUUGAACACUGAGAGAAACGUGAGUUUCCCAAUGGUUAAAACCACGUAAGAAAUUUCGAAUUUGUCCCUAAAUUGGACGUCUUUUAGCCGUCUAAAAUCCUUUUUGUUCAACGGAUUUGGUCGAGAUAUAAGCCGAAAAACAAAUAGUGAAACGCGUUCCUGAAGCCCAUCAAAGCAAACCUGCCUCGAACACCUUGGAUCCUGUGACCCGGCAUCGUUACGACGCUCUAGGAAUUGCGAAGACGAAUGGCCAUGAUGUUGUGGUGACGAACGGCUGCUGUUGCUGUAAAAUCAAAUUGUUUUUUAUUCUUAUUCUGCGAUGAACAAUUGGCAUCUGAGAUUAUUGAUUUUGACAUUUGAAGAUUAUUGGCGAAGUGGUUUUGGAAAUAAUUGAUUUUCAGAUGAUGAACAAGGUUUGUUGUUUUGUCGUGUCCGGUCAGACCGGCCAGGUGCUCUGUGUCGACUCUGUGUCGACUUCGGGUUGUUUGUUUAGAAAUCCGUGGAUGUUUCGUGUUUAUGGCUUCUAGAUGGAUCCUAUGUGUAUGUAAUACUGUUGUUUGCUAACAAUGAGUCAAGUUGAAAAUAGCUUGGUCUUGGAAUAUGGUUUCCUUGUUUGAUUCAUGUGUAGGUGACCUGAUGCCUCAGAAGAGUAUAGUCGGUGAUGGAUCGGGAGUCGACUUGGAGAUAAGGCGACGUCCGGACGAUCGGAUAUCAUGCGGGAUACUUAGGCUAAAGAUCAAUGCACGUGGUUGGUGAAUAUUCCAUAUGACAUACGAUGGAGAUAUUGUGUGCGUAUGGGAUGCGGAGGCCAUUCCAGGGCUGUCGAACCGGGCGGAUCUAUACCGGUCAGACCGGCGGCACAAGCACGAUCAAACUGGCAGAUCAACCUCGAUUAGACCGAUCUAUAUCGAAAUUGAGGGUAACUUUUAAUUCCGCUAAAAAUUUUGGUUUUUGGGUACACCAACCAUUCACCCCCUAUGGUUGACUUAAUUCUUUCUACGGAGUUGCUAGAAAUAUGGCGUCAUAUGCUACAGUCGAUUUUUUUUCAGCCACUUACACAGUAGUUACACCUCAUUUACAUCCUACUUACAUAUGUAAUUACUAUGUAAUUUUUGAAUUUACAUAUGUAAUUUUAGUACUUACACAUGUAAUUUUGAGACUUACAUUGUAAAUACAUUAAAAUUAGAUAUGUAAUUUAGGGACUUACAAUGUAAAUACAUGCCGACUAUUUUUUUUUGAUGAAAAUAUAGUGCCAUAAAUAUAGCUACACCCUUCUUUCUAUUCGAUCCUACAGUUGUGAGGGUGACGCGCGCCGAUACUGGCGGCAAGCUAGCAAAUCAGAAGUCCGGCGAUGGCAUCCAAGCGGGAAAUCAAUGUCCAAAAUCCGGCAACAAGGACAAUAGAAAGGUCUUGGUUAGUGUGCUUGACUAGGUUGCCGUUGAUUUGUGUUUUGACUUUUGAAAAGACUACUGUUACUAGGUUAUUCCCCAUAGUGUGUGCAGUCGCAGCGAGGAAGAUUGGCCAUUUCUUUGCGUGGCUCAGUCAUUAGUUAGUGGAUCUCAGGAAGAAAGGGGAGUGUUCUGUACAGGGUGAAAUUACAUCAACUACUGAAAAAAAAAAUCCACCUCUCUGAAUACGCCCGCCAUCUUCCAUCUCCUUGAUGUCCCCAAACAUCCGAAGUGGCGUUCGCGCUUUCUGAUUGAAGAUCAUUUCGUUCCUUUCGUUCCACACCGCUCAGGUUACCAGCGUCAAGUUACAUUUGUUUUGGACCUCUAAUUGUUUCUUGAAUUCUCUUCUCCUAGUCAGAUAUCGCUGCCGCCAUUAAUUUGUUCCCCCCUUUGGGAAAAAAAAAUAUUUUGAGCUUGUGCCAAGUUAGUCAUGGGUGCCAAGAGGAGCUCAAUGAUCCCCGCACUCUUGCUCCUCGCUUCCUUGUCCAUCUUCAAGCUACCUUGCUUCUCCAGAUCACUCUCUUUCAGCUACGAUUUCUCCAAGCCCACCACUUUCAAUCGUUCCGACAUCGCAAUAGAUGGAUCCGCGAGUCUCAAUGGUCUCAUCGAGCUCACGCAGAACGCUGACCCGAAACGUGAAGGCAUAUACGACACGGUGGGCCGAGGGUCCUACGGCCAUCCGGUGCCGCUCUGGGACGAGGCCACCGGCGAGGUGACGAGUUUUACGACGCGCUUCUCGUUCGUCAUCAAGUUUAACUAGUCAGACAAGGCCAAGUACGCACCCAGCGACGGGCUUGCCUUCUUCCUGUCACCCUAUCCGUCAAAGAUGUCUCCACUCGACGGCGGUGGAUUGCUCGGCGUCUUCACCAACAGCACUGGCAUGAAUCCGUCCGCCGCCGCCCCGAUCGUCGCGGUGGAGUUCGACACGUUCCAAAAUGAGUGGGACCAGAGCAGCGACCACAUCGGCAUCGACGUCAACUCCAUCAACUCGACCGCGGUGAAGUUGCUGUCUGACCGCAGCCUCUCCAACGUCACCGAGCCGAUGGUUGCGUCGGUGAGCUACAACAACAGCACAAGGAUGCUGGCCGUCAUGCUGCAGAUGGCCCCCCAAGAUGGCGGCAAGAGGUACGAGCUCAACAGCACGGUUGACCUCAAGAGCUUGCUCCCCGCGCAGGUGGCCAUCGGAUUCUCGGCGGCGAGCGGGUGGUCCGAGGAGCGGCACCAAGUACUCACCUGGUCUUUCAAUUCGACAUUGGUGGCGUCUGAAGAACGGAGAGAAAACGCAACGCGAGGUAGGCCGGCCGCUGCGGUGCUUGCAGGUGUCGUUGUAGCAUCCGUCGUCGUCGUCGGGGCCUCGAUCUGUUUGUUUGUAAUGAUCAGGCGGCGUAGGAUAUCUCGCCGGCGGACGAGAGAAGAGUACGAGAUGGGCGGCUCCGACGACUUCGACAUGAACGAUGAGUUCGAGCAAGGCACCGGUCCGAGGCGAUUUCUGUACAGCCAACUGGCCACCGCGACGAACGACUUCUCCGAGGACGGGAAGCUCGGGGAGGGUGGCUUCGGGUCGGUGUACAGGGGCGUCUUGAGCGAACCGGCCGGCGUCCACGUCGCCGUCAAGAGGAUCUCCAAGACCUCCAAGCAGGGGAGGAAGGAGUACGCCUCCGAGGUGAGCAUCAUCAGCCGCCUCCGGCACCGGAACCUGGUGCAGCUCGUCGGCUGGUGCCACGGCCGCGGCGACUUCCUCCUCGUCUACGAGCUGGUGCCCAACGGUAGCCUCGACGCGCACCUCUACGGCGGCGGCGCGACGCUGCCGUGGCCGACCAGGUACGAGAUCGCGCUCGGGCUCGGCUCGGCGCUGCUCUACCUGCACUCCGGCUACGAGAAGUGCGUGGUGCACAGGGACAUCAAGCCCAGCAACAUCAUGCUCGACUCCGCCUUCGCCGCCAAGCUCGGCGACUUCGGGCUGGCGAAGCUCGUCGACCACGGCGACGCCUCGCAGACGACGGCGGUCCUGGCGGGGACGAUGGGGUACAUGGACCCGGAGUACGCGGCCUCCGGCAAGGCGAGCACCGCGUCCGACGUCUACAGCUUCGGCAUCGUGCUGCUGGAGAUGUGCUGCGGGAGGAGGCCCGUGCUGCUCCAAGAACAAUCCAUCAGGUCCCGCCUCCUCGAGUGGGUCUGGGACCUCCACGGCCGCGGCGCCAUCCUCGAGGCGGCCGACGAGCGGCUGCGCGGCGGCGAGCUCGAGCUCGACGCGAAGCAGGUGGAGUGCGUGAUGGUCGUGGGGCUCUGGUGCGCGCACCCGGACCGCGGCGUGCGGCCGUCCAUCAAGCAGGCGCUCGCCGCGCUCCAGUUCGAGGCUCCGCUGCCGGCUCUUCCUCCGACGAUGCCCGUGCCGACGUACUCCUCCUUGCCGAGCCUUGCAUUGUACUGCGACGCGGCGGCAGCUAGCUCGUCGUCAUCCAGUGCAGGGUUUUCUUCUUCCACGAGUGGCGAGCGUUCGUCGACGAGCUCCUCUGCAGCAACCGCCGAGUCGUCGUGGCUACUUAAGCACAACAACAGGGGCAGUGAAAAAAUAGUAUUAGGCAACAAUUGAUUAGAUCAUAUCUUUAGUUUGAUGCCACCUUGAUGUUGCUUAGCUCUUCGUUGUUUAUGUGUAUUGUUCUUCCUUGGGCCGCCGUGUCAUUUGUGAUAUGUACCUCAAUUCAUAUCUCCUUUUCUAUAUAUGCGUUUUCAACUUUCCUAGUAUAGCCUGCUAUCUUUGAUCUUAAUUGAAUGUCACAAGCCGAGUCACUGUUUCGCGAAACGACAUAUUUGCAAACGAAAAGUAAUUUGUGAAUAAAACUUUUAUAUACGUGUUCUUUGCGAUCUAAAAGUAAAGGCUAAAAAAUAAUUUCGAUGAAAAAAAUUUCUCAAAAUCAGUUUCAAAUUUAAGGUUGAAAAUUCAAAUUUUGACUAAUAAUUAUAAGCAUAAGCGAAAAGACGAGGAGCAUAAGCAUAAGCAAAAAUUCAAAUUUUGGCGGGACAAAGGAUUGCGAUCUCGUGAAGGUGAGCUAACUCCAAAAAUCCGUCCUCGGUUCGGAUUGUAGGUUGCAACUCAUUUGCAUGAAGCAGGAAUCGCUAGUAAUCACCGGUUAGCCAUACGACGGUGAAUCCGUUCGACACAACGCCCGUCACACUAUAGAAGUUGACUAUGUUUGAACUCAUUAACCUUAACCAUAAGAAGGAAGAUGCCUAAGGCUAGGCCUUUGACUAGAGUGAAGUUGUAACAAGGUAGGGCAUGUCUGGGGGAGCUUCUGGCAGCUGUAGUUUCUCUCAGAAUCAGAAGCUCUACCUAACAAUUCAGUUUUUUUGUCCAAUUUCUGAGAACCUAUAAUUGUAGAAUCUAGAAAAAUAAACUAGAAGCUAGAAGCUGAAAAACUCCAGACUCUCAGAAGCUGGAAAACUUCAGACUCUAAGAAGCUGGCUAUGAACCAGCUGCUUAUAAUUUUAAGCUCCCCAAACAGGCUCAUAGUCGUACUGGAAGUUGCAGCUGGAUCACCUCCUUUUUCAUGAGCUAAUACUUACGUAUUUUGGUUUGACAUUAAUUGCUUCAUGCCCAAAAGGAAGGCAGCUACGUUUGAGCUAAAUUUGGAUAUGGAAGUCUUUUUUCGUUUAGGGCAAAGUACGACCAAGCUCAUGAGCUUAUUAUCCUAUAUCGGAACAAUUACUAGUUGAUAUUGAUAGGAUCUCCUUUUUAAUGGCCCCACACCCUCCUGUGUGGUGUGUGCGGUGUGGCAGAUGGGGAUAUCAAAAGGAAAGGGAUAGAGUUUUUCUCGUUUUUGGUAUAGCAUACCUUCUUUUGGGAGGCCUGCAGCCCCACACAAUGAGCUCCCUCAUAAUUGCGUCGUUGUGCCUAGGUAAGGAAUUUUGAAUUUUUUUUCUCUGAAUUGGACAUCUUUAAGCAGUAUAAAAUCUUUUCUGUUCAAAAGAGCCGAAACAAAAACUGUUCGAGAUAUGAGCCGAAAACCAAAAGUGAACCCGUUCAUGAAGCCCAUCAAACGCAUGCAGCUUAACCUCGCCUGAUUCAGCAGCCCAGUUGAAGGUCUUCAAAUCGUAGGAUUUGAACCCUCGUGAUGAAUCCACAAGGUGAUCUCCCGUGUGUGUUAGACUGUUAGUCACCCUUGGUGCCAGCAAAAGGAAAAUGAAAAGGUCAUUGUACAAGGGCCCAAAAAAUAUAAGAACAGUUGAAGCAGAGAAGUAUGAACAUAUAUCCACAAAAAGUUCCUUUAAGAAUGAUAUAGAUGAUCGUGAUUAGAACCCACAAAGUGAUCGCCAGGAGAAUUGAAAGGUCUAGGCUUGACUAGUGUAUCGAAAGAAAACUGUGGAAAUAUAGAUGUAUCAACAUAUGCCCACAAUAAGAACGAUCGAAAUUACGUGUAAAGAUUAUUCUUUCGAAAUUUGCAAGCAUAAAAAAAAAAAAGACCUAUAGCUUCAUCUGACCAACACCUCCCUUGAAUGAACCGUAUAAAGGUCUCGACCUCCUGAAGCUGAAUAUAUCGGUUAUUUGAUACGAGUGCGGCUGUGGCUCAUCGUGAACUAUCUUUUCGUACUCGGAGGAAUGGAGACCGCCGUAAACUUGAAUGCUAAGAAUUUUCUUUUGUGGUGCAUUAACUUUGACAUGAUUAUUGAAGAACUCAAUCAACUCCUCUUUAUUGAGAUCCCUCAGUGCAGCAACCUGCAGCAAGAGAACUCCAGGUAUAAAAAAAAAUGACACCAUAGGGACAAAAUUACAGAAAUAGAGCAUACCUCCGCCUCUUUUCUAUCAAAUUUCAGAGUUCCUUCCGAAAUUUCUUUCCAGAAGAACGCUGAUUCCUCUCUUAUAUUCUUGUAUUUCUCCAGCUUCAUGUCAAUGAGAGCAUUCACGUUGCUCUGCAGGUAACAGAAGUGACUGUUUACUCUGUAUAAUGUCAAGUAUACAACCAUACAAUAGAGCUACAGCAACCUUCGGCCGACCCGGCAAAAGAGCUACAGCAAGCUAUAACAGAAGCCAACAAAUACUGACAGCAAUCAUCUUACCUUGAACUCUUCAUCAGGCAUUUGGUAUAGAGUCCCUUCAAACAUAUUAAGAAAAGCUUCCACUCUGUCAUCCAGGUUUGAUGGAUCCUGUUUAAGUAACUUCUUAGAACAGGAGAUAAAAAUGAUCCAGCAGUUGAAAUUGCAUUGGAAAAUAUAUUUACCUUCACGGUUGACUGAAUUAUGAAUUGCAAUCCCCGAACACCUGAAUCAUUUCUGGGUAAACAAGAUAGUGUGAACAAAGAUUUAGAGGAGUUGCAUGAGCAUGACUACUAAGUCCCAUUACCACAUACCAAUGCAAAAAAGUGCUGCACAUCCUUUUGCAAUAAAGAACACAAUUAAAAUAAAGGCAACAUCGUACCUUUGUGUAAGCACUGUUAUGUAGCCAAGUUGCUCAACUGAACGCAAUUGGUGAAAAGCUGGUUGCUUAGCAACAAGAGCAAGCAAUUGAAGUAGAACAUUUUGUUUGAGAUCAUCCUGAUGAAUCUGUGCAGUGGAAACAUUGUUAUAGCAUUGAAAUGUGUAUUGCAGGUAUCUUCCAGGAAAAACUAGAUAUGGUUGAUGAGAGGCUAGAGUAAGAAAAAAAACUGGAUGUUCAGGUAUUCUUCUGUAAAUGCAAAAGAGGUCCACAGAGAAAACAUCAAAGAAGUGCAAAGGCAUACCUGAAUAUAAUGCAGGAUGGAAGAAUUUUUUUCAUCCUGGUGAUUUAGGCACAAUGCUGGAUAAUAAUACCUCCAACCCCUUUCAAGUUUUACAAUUCGCUUUGUAAGAUGCUGUGAUGGGGGUAAUGCUUUGCAGAAACUGAUGGGUGCAUUGAAUAAGGUGUCUUCAACAUGCUGUAUAACACUUUUUGCUUCACCCGGUUCCAUGUUCCCUAAUAUAGUAAUAUCGAUCACAUACAGAAUUAAGAACAUAAAAUAAGUACACCCUUCUUAAUGAGAAAGAAUCAAAAUAAUGAAGUUAGUUAUUAAACAAACCAGCAAAAUAGCAUUCAAUAAAUGUCUUGCCCAGAAGACGAGGCAAAAAAAUCUGUAGAUCGCUUGCUUCAAUAUGAGAAACUGCAGCAAGUUUUUCAUCCCAUGCCCAAGUUUGUUCCUCUAAUAUCAAUGAACAAUAGUAAAAUGCCUGCUCAUAUGGUUGUCGAAAUUUGAAAUUCUCGUAGUCCUUUAUUAUAGUUUCCUGAUGACAGCAACAAAAUAUGAACACACGCAGCUCAUGUAAUGUAAAAUGCAUAGAAUGCUAAGUUAAUAUUGCAUAAUCAGGAAGAUAGAAGGUACGCUAGACAUCCUAGGCAGACACUCUUUUGUCCUUCAAGACAUCCUAGGCAGAUAGAAAGUACGCCAUAUUUAAUCCAAUUAGAAUUCUAUAGAUAGAAAUGCAUAUAUUAGGAAAUAUCACAACUGUUGUUUAUAGCUUUUUAGUCCCGUUUCUGCACUGUUUUUUCCUAAAUGAAAGUAGCUCAUGCUUCUGACAAGGAAUCUCCUGACUGUUUUAUACAUGUCCAAAUGACAACCAAAACAAAAAUUCUAGCAGGUCUGCAGAAGAUAUUUUAACAAAGAACCACAUGUAAACUGAGCAUGGCCGUUACCUUUAUAACAGCAAAACGGUCAACCUUCACUUCAAACUCAGCAAUUUUUCCAAUGACAGUAUCCAGAAGGGUUCUCAUUUUGUCAUUAUAACCGACCAUAGUUAUCUGUAAGGAAAUCAUAAAUAUUGGACGGUUAGAAAAUAAGAAGAUUUCAUAAGGAAAAGUCUCAUAACACGCCAUGAAUUAUGACUCGUUUAGAAGGAACAGUUGAGUGAUAGAUCGCAAUUUACAAACAUACAUAACAAAGUUUUACAAACAUGCAACACACCAACAGUGUCAGCCACUCAGCCUGCUACCACACAGUAUACAUGAAAAAGUAACAGGGAUUAGGUAAUAUUGACCAUUUAAUCUAAUAUAGAAUAUAAUGCCAUUUGUAUAUGCACAUAUGAAAAAAGAAAACAAAUGGAGAAAAAGCUGCUGUAAGACUGUAACUUAUGAAAGCACAUAGCCAUGUACAUCUUCUAAUUACAGUACUAAUGAUGUCUUUAUUGCAAACUAGUCCAGUUAAGAAAAUGUACAUCUGAACCAAUAUGUGGAAAAUAGUUCCAAGUGUCAAGACUGAUGAUAGCCUACUUCUUGCUUCUAUAUGCAACAGGAAUCAGGAUUUUAAUAUUAAAGAUUAAAUGAGAAUCGAAUGGCAAGCAUCUGCUUAUUAGUAACACAUAUUACCAUUUUUUUCAUACUUGCGCAAAUACAGUAUGUGUUUAAUUAGGAGAAACAAAAAAGUUUGAGUAUAGAAGCGCUAUCGGUAUUGAUACAUAUUGACUGAAGAGCUUGGUGUCAUGGUGUGCAUCAUGCAUGGGUUAUGCGCAUCAGAUGGAACACAUUGUAUGAAUAUAUGAUGCAGGAAGGCCUGCACCAUAGUACGAUUGUCACAUGACAACCAUAUCAGCAGCAUGCAACAAGUACCAACAUAGAUGGGUAUAAGAGUGUUCGUACUGGUUUAGGUGAAAACAUGGCUAAAGGCAACUAACAUGAUGAAUAAAGUAGGUGGUAUAAAAUUAUUGUGUAGUUGGCAAUGGGCAUGUGGUAUGUGCCACACCACACAAGUUUAAUGUCAGUGGAAAACCUUUUAUUUGGUAACUUCCAAGCUGCGAUGCAAUAACCCUCGGGCAUUUGACCAAGAAUAUUUUUCAAAAAUAUAUGCACUUUGUGAUCCCCAGGCAUAUUUCCCCAAAAUACCCCUUCUGACUGUACCUAUCUCCGUAUGUUUCAGUGCUCUGUUGAUUGUGAGAUAUUAUUAAAGGGUACUUUCAUUACAUUCUAAAUAAAUUGUUUUUUCGUUUUGAGAGGGUAAGCCAGUAGAUUGUAAUUACUUGGAUAUAUGCAAUUUAGUCAAAAGUAAUAAAUAUUCAAAGUGGAGGGGAGUUAACUUAUAUCAAUGCAACAGUUCAAUUUCCACAACAACCAGGAAUUCCUUCUGAACCCGCAGGAAUAUCAUAGAAUUUUCACAUAAAACAGGAAUCGGGGAAAAUUCCGUAUCCCAAACAGAGCCUAAGAGAAGUAUGAACAGCAGGACCCUCUUUACUAAAAAUAAAAAGAAGAUUCAGCAAGGACAAUUAUUUUCAAUAAUCCAGUAUAAUUAAUGCUCACAAGGAGUCAAGUUAUUCAAUCUUUUCUGAUAUAAUUAGUGUGAUGUUUCCAUCAACACUGCAUCAUCUGGAUUAGCAAUGAAGAUAAACAAUCAAUUAUGUCAUGCAAACUGUACAGCUAACCUGAAAUCCAGUGUCACUUGGCCUAAUAAAGUAGUAAAGACCAGCAAUUUGAGCAUCAUAAGCUGAAAGCAAAACAAAGUUGGUGGAUUAUUGCAACAGAUAAAUGAACCAAAGGCAAACUAACCAGAGGAUGACCAUGUCCUUAGUCCCUCUAUUUUCUAGGAUUGAUAACUGUAUGUGGAGAACGAGUUCUUGUUUCGGCCAACAAAAAGAAUUUUCCAACUUCUCCAUUAGUAUAUGUCAAUUUUAUGAUAGAACAUUGUAUGAAGAGAAGUUUGAAAUAUACUAAACAAUUUCAUGAACCUGUGCCAUAAGAAUCAUAAAAUAUUGAGAUAUCUCAUGUAUUACUACAUACCAAAAUCAUUCAAAUAAUCCAUUAUCAACCUCGUGAACAUAUCAGUAAGAACUGUCGAUUCAGGAGAGCUAUUGGACAGUGGACAGUGGAAAUCCAUCUUGACGUAGGCCUUGGGUGUGAAGAACAUUGUAUCAGGCUUAUACCAUACUCUUGAAAACAUUGUUUUCCUAAGCAUACAAGGAAAACUUCCCUGGAUAAACCGAAAAUAUCAAUAAAGUUUCACAAAAUAAAAUUAUGAGCAUUUUUUUUUAAUAAAAAAUACCUUUUCCUCAACAUUUUUCAAUGAAAGAUCACUUGGAAUGAAGAUAUUAGGUUUUGGAAUGUGCAAAUCUUCCAUGGGAGCCAUAUUUACCCAUUUCUGUACAAAUUAUGUUAGAAAUGUGUACAAUUCCAAAUAUAUUAAAUUGGAGAAUAUGAUAGGAACAGUAACAUCCAAAUGUACACCUGUAUGAUGGAAGGAGUGACUGCUUCAACUGAAUAUGAUGUACCAUACCAAGGCUCUGUUAAGUUUGUUUGCCCUUCAAACUUUUUUGAUUCCCAGAAUAUUCUGAAGGAGAUGAAGAAGAUAACCCAGAAGUAUUAACACCCGUAAGUAAAAGUCACAAUGAAAAUAAAAUCUAAACAAACAGAUCAAGUGUGUGAAAGGAAAAAAUAAAGCAAAUGGCCAUAAGAGGAUCAACGAUGAGUGAGGAGCCUGUUGCUGCUUUUUGGAAGUUAACAAUAAAAAAAAUGCAAAGGGACAAGUAAUGAAAUUUCUUCCGCUUUCUCUGAGAAAAAAAGCUCAAAUUUAUGAAAAGUAGUGAAAGUUCUCUUGGCUGUGCCAUCCUUCUAGAAGAGCACUAUAGUGUUUUAUAAUUGAUUAGGCCAAGAGGAGUGUGAAGCGACAGCUAAAUGCAAAGACCGAUCAUUUUCCAAACUACAUGCAGUAGUUGAAGAGUCACAAUAAUAAGCAUAUGCAUACAUUAUACUGUUAUUGCUGAAAUGAACAACCAACUCAAAUUGGCUAGUCCCCAAUUCUGUAUGAUAACAUUAAAUGCAUGAGAUUACUGUCGUGAAUAGAAUACACAUUGUUGUAUCUUUGCAGUCUCAUACUGAUCCGAAAUUUUCCAUUCGAAAUUGUGGGAUACAAGAUGUGCUGGAAGUGCUCCUGAAAAAUCCUAGGAAUCAUGUCUAACCUAAGUGUACGGGAAGAAGCAUAUGAAGAUUUUACAAUGUGGUACAUGAACCAUUCAAGGCAUCAAAGAUAUGUAGCACAAAUGAAUUAAUAUAGAUAUGAGUUUCCUAAGAAAGUAACUUUUGAAAUACUCCAAAAAAGAGAGUAUAAUACAUAAAAUAUAACUUUUCAACAAACAUGUGCUGAAUAUUAAAACAUAAAAAACUAUGACUAAACCUUAAAACAGAACAGGAAAACCCAACAAGGCCAUAUGGCCUGGAUGUACUCAAAACCUACCUAACAUUAUCUGGAGUCAAGUCAUUUAAUAUAUUCUGAAUAGCAUCUGGAGAAAACUUUGAUGGCACAGAUGAUGCAAUCAGCCAAUCUUCCGGCGGAAAGAUCUAUAAUAGAGAGAGAUCAUGAGAUGGUGAUACUGAGCAGAAUUAAUUUGCAAUUUAUGAACAAACAUUUUGGCAUAAUUUAUUAGGAGGAACUGAUCAUUUCAUUGUUCAAUGAAAUAUCAUGAGCUGGCCUUCUUGUUAAUUUCAUUUUGUGUAACGAAACAAAGUAGCCUACAAACAUAAGUUAAGAAAAGCUAAACAGUUUUUAGAUAUGCCACUCCACUUCCUCCCAGUCAUACGCAUGUGAAUCUAUGGGGAAUGCAGAUCCGCUCAUGUAGAAAGCUUCAAUUUUGUGAAUUUGGCGAUAUUCUGUUCAAAUUUGACUAAAAUUUGUUCAAAAUUUUGGUAUAUCAGCACCCUCCAAUAGAAACGUCCAAACCUAAAGAUUAAACCCUGGGGGGGGGGUGCAUAUGCAAAAAUUUCAGUCUUUUGGGCCUCUGAAAACUCGGAUAUUUUGGUCAAACUACAACAGGAAGCAUGAAAGGAUCAUAACCUACACAGAAGCCUAGAGCCUCAUUAGUGGAACUAUGCCCCACUGCAUCCUUGCUGACAGGAUCACGUUUUCUCUCAGGGAAGUGUUAUGGUAGAUGUGACUAUCACCUCCAAAUUUAUCGAUAUCAUUCACUCAUAAAUUAAGAGGCAACCCAUAUAAUAUGUCACAUUUAGUACACAAGCCCAGCAAAAAACAUUUAGUACACAAAUACAUUGUAAUAUAUCUAAUACUCUCACACCCUUCUUGAAAUUUGUGUGGAGGUUGCCUCUUGAUUUAGGGGUAGCUCAUCAUCUCUCUCCUCACUUAUCUCCACCAUCUCAUCACUUAAUCCAAUGUGGCACUCUUAGGGGCAGCAUAUGGAGCAUUAUAGUACUUGCCCUCAGCGACUUCUCCCUCCUCACCGUGAUCCAACUUACCGCUAGUCGCUAGAGAGUACAAGUAUCUAAUGGCUAUGACUAGAGAUUGCCAAGCUGAUCCAGGCAUUACCACAUUGGUCUCUUACCCCUAGAAGCCACAUUAAUCACCUUGACACAUAAGACAGUCGUGCAACAUGGAGUCAGUGACAAAUUGCAGAAAGAAGGGAGUUAUCUGGUGGCAUAUAGUUCAUAUUCUCACUUCAUUUGUGAGGGAUCCCACCUAAUCACAUCCCUAUGAAUUCAACCGAGUCUUAUCCAACAACUCAUAGGAGUAUCAAGUUACAAGGUUUUAAAGUAGCACAGCAAUAUAGUUUUGCACUAGAUUCUCUCAUACAAACAUGUCACUGACAAAAUAUAAUAAUAAGGUGCAGAUUGAUAGUAGAAUUAAUGACUGGUCAUUCUUGACUUUUGCAUGAGCACUUUCAUGCCUUAUCAAAAGUCACAUCUGUCUAAUCAGAAAAUAGUUAGGUAGUAAGAUUUUAAAAAGUCACUUUCUUUUAUAAGCAAAGAGAAGUCUGCUUUCUGCCCUCGAUUCAAACUUUUAUGAGAAACAGAGAUGGAAUACUGUUUCUCGUAAAAAAAAAAGAUGGAAUACUGUGAUACCACCACCUAUCAGGCCCGACGAGCGGUCCACUGUAUAGGAAAAUGGGCAACAAUGGGACUCCUAACUCUUUCUUGAACAUGCAGGAACAGUCAAUUGCAAUUAAAACAGAUGCUAUUAUUGCUAACUUCCUUUUAAAAUGAUGACAAGACAUGAUAAAGAUUAUUAGUUGGCAAUUAUGGACAUGCAAUACAGAUGCCCAAAGCAAUGACUAAAAUAUACCUGCAUGUUUGAGGAAAUAUUGACAACAUAAUGGAUAGGAGGACUCUUGUCUCGGUAGUGGAAUCCCAUCUCAGAAAUAGCUACAAGCUUGACAAUCAAAACAGAGUGAGGUAGUUAGCUGUGUGCAAUGCUAAAUGGACUUCAUGUGCAUCAUUACAAUUUACAAUGUCGCAAAAACACAUAGACACUGUCAUUAUCGUUCACCAGUUAGACAAUUAUACAAAUUCCAAGCAUUACUAUAGUAGUUGGACAAAAUAGAAUUUGAAGGAAGCACGCAAAAACAAUGUGACCCUUUGACAAGCAUUACUGUAGUAGUUGGACAAAAUAGACCCUUUGAAGGAACCUAAUGCAUGCAGCGUACACAAAAACAAUGUGAGCAACUUGAUGAUAUGGUCACAUACUCAUGUUUCAUGAUUCAUCUUGAAAAGGUAAAGUAUAAUUAAAUUUAAAUAUUAAAUAGUAGCUCCCUAAAAUGCCAUUUAUAGAGGGAUAUUGGGUGAUAAGAAAAGGUACUGGUCAAAUUACGACAAAUUAGACCAAAGAUCUUAUGUACAAUCCUGACCAAAACAAUAAUCCAAUUUAAUGACUUCAUUAAUGGCCUGAUUGUUUAAAUUUCGAAGUAGCGGUAUCAGCCCAAGAAAAAUUUGCAAAGCUUAAACGGAUGUCACGUACAGCUUACAGUUGAUUUUGGUCAUUAUAAAAAAAAAAUCUAUUCCCAAAAGGUACACAAAUCCAAAACCAAAAUUCACCUCAUCAAAAAUCCACUGACGAGUUCCAGAGGUCUGGAGCAAUGCUAUGUAUCGGAAUAACAGUCCAAUAAUGUCCUCCAUGUGCUCUAUCAUCAAUGAUAUGAAAUAGGUAAAUAUUAUAUACACUGUAAAUCUUCAGUACUUAAAAGUAAAAUUUGAUCUUCCAUCAAAAAAUAGUAAAGUUUGAUCAUAUACUAUCCACUUAGAUUGAAAUUAAGGAUUUACCCUCCUGACUCUCAUGUGAGUGACCUUGAUUACCCCACGUCUUUUUUUUAUGCAAGAGAUUACCCCACAUGUCAUUGGCACAGGAGGGUAAAUCCUCAAAAAAUUGUUGUUAAAAAGGCCCUUCUUGAAUGAAACUCACCAUAGCCUACAUCUGUGAGCUGUAUAACAACAUUGAAGAAUGAAAACUCAUAACUCCAGUCACCUUCCCAUGCAUACAAACUCAUAGCCCAUCCUGAGGAAUUUAACAAAGACAAAGUUAAAAACAACAAGCACUAUGAAAGAUAUAUACACACACCCAUACAUAGAGAGAAAGGGAGGUGAUCAGGUGAGGAUGAUACGUGGGUUAUGUCCACCCAUUAAGCACAGUCAAGUCACUAUUUAUCUUCUUUAUUUUGUUGUUGUUUAUUAUUGAUUGUUAUGGUGGCAUUAUCACUAUUUUCCUACGUAGACUCCACAUAGGUCACCGAGAGACACCACGGUUUAGGCACAGAGGGGACAUGUGGACACUUUCGAAAGUUGAGGGACCAAAAUCAGACCAAGGCCAUAGUUUAAGGGACUAAAUGUGGACCUUUUCCUUUUCUUUAUUGUGUAUUGUUUGCCUGUUCCAUUGAAACUUUACUUUGAUUUUUCCUUGACAAACCUAAUGUCAUUUUUACAUAACAAAGUCAAUAGCUUCUUGUAUCAGUAGCCAAUUUUUUUGAGGUUUGGCUGCACAUAAUCUAAAAAUGAAACCUAUUUGAGGAAGGAGGUCGCAGUGAAUUAUUAGCACACCACCUAAAGAGGAUAUUGCUGUUAUACCUAAAUAUCCUCGAAUGAAACAUUAAAUAAAAGCAAAGGAAUAAGAUUUCAUCUCCAGAUUUUUCCUAUAUAACAGUACGGAAGAACCAUACAGAGAUAAAAGAGUUGAAAACACCACACGAAAGCAUAUACAUAGAAAACACAAAAGCAUCUGGAUAUGUGCACUACAAAAUGGCAUCUCAAUUGGAAAAGCAAAGUAAGACUAAUUAUAUGCAUUUGGAUAGUAAUUAUAUCAGACCAAGAACCAGCUCAACACGUCACCUCGAAAGAUGGAUAUAAACUCCAAAUCAGUGAAUCACAUAACACAAUCUAAAGUAGCAUUCUUGAAUUAAAUGGCGCUAUCAUGUCUAAAUGCUUCAUCAAAGUGCGAGUACAAUCCUGUAUUAAGCUGACAAUAAGGUCAGAUAUUCACAUUAACAGAAAUACGUAAUAUCUUGAAGCAAGAAGCAUAGAACCAGAGGAUUUUGUAUUCAUGUUACACCAAAUAGCCUAUGGACUGACCAAACAGCCCCAAACCCGUCCACCAGAAAAGAAGCUGAACUUCUCAUAUAUAGCUUACCUAAAUUUUUUAGCACGUAAAAUAGAGACCCCUCUCCUUCAUGGCCAACUAGACGACUCACAUACUUGCAAGGCCCUUCCUUAUAGUGCUGAAUAUUUGGGGUGAUUGGCCACUGUAUUCUCAAAGUGUGGCCUUCUUUUAUGGGAACCGCUUUAACAAUGAUCUGCAGGUCAUUAACUACCAUAUUAAAACAUGUUAAAGUAUCCUUACAUUUCAAAAGAAGUGCCAGAUCCAGUGGUGCACUUGACUUAUCAACCUAUUUUUAGCAAAUGGAAAAUAUAAACCUGGAGAUGUUCACUUGAACAUGGAUGACCAUGAAAGGAAAAACUUUCCCUUCCAGUAUUCCUGACAUCAGAGAACUUAUUUUCAACAAGAUUUUGAAGGUUGUCAAGACUCUCUGCAUACACAAGUUACACAACAGAUAAAAGAAAAAAAAAUAAUUUGAAGAAUUUGUACACAAAUGAAAAAUAUAAUGGUGUAAUUCAGUUUGAUGAAAACCUUUGCCAUACACAACAAGUUGCAUCAAAUUAGCUGAGUAAUGUGAAUUAUAAAAUUUAAUAAGCUCUUCCAGUGUGUCCAAUCCUUCCUUAUUUGGAUUAACCAGCAAAGUGUCCAGGUUUCCUAAAAUAAUAGAUGAUCAGAAUAUUAGUGAAAAAAAUAGUCGACCUUUCUAUCAUGUAAAAAAAUAGCCUCUUAUUUGGCUCAAGUUAAAACUCCCACAGGUUUUGAUUCCAGAGAAAUAAUAUCUAAAAUAAUUUUAAGGUGUAAAUACUCCCUGUCCUGUAUGUUUGUUAGACUUCAACAAAGUAAUCUCCAAUUCACAUAUUUGGCCAGUGACUUUUAGUGGUAGUUUAAUUUUGACUCCACUAUUCUGAAACAACAUUAUUUUUUAAGAACAAGCACGAUACUGACCAACAGAAUAAAGUAGAAUCAGAGGGCAGGCAUCAAUUAUUCUCAAAGUAUAAGAAAUGUCAAAGUACUUCAUGUACAAACUUGUGAAUUCAGUGCUUGUUCGAGCCUAUGUGGUCCUCGCCAAGAGAGGGACUUGAUGGGUUAGAAAAAUAGAGGUGUAUUUGCCAGAUCUAAGAGUUGCACAAUCUUUGCUCAUUCAUCACAACCUUUGCCCAUUCAUAUAACUACCAUGCCUCACCACCAAAUAAAAAAAGGGAUACGAUAGGUGGUGCUGAGAAAGAUCAGCUAGAUGCCGAGUAAUCUUAGUUAGGUUGUGCUGGAAGGCAUGGGCCGACACAAGGGGAGAUGCAAAACAUUUGACUGACAAAGGCACAAUUUUACGUGUUUCUAUGUCCUUCAUAUGCUAUUGUUUCAUUUGUGAAAUCAGUGUUUUUUCAAAUGAUCCUCAUGGUCCACAUGGAUCAAUAUCAAUACAGAAGAACUUCAAGAAAAGAUGUGUGUGAGCCUUGGAUGACAGAAUAAACCACAAAUGAAGAGAAUCCAUCAUGAAGAUUGAGAAUACCAUAAAACAAAUGGACCAUCAGGUUUACAAAUGCAGCCUUUUUCCUUUUGGAAUUUGGAAGGAUAUAUAGUGAGUUUUUUUUUCCCCAUCAUGAGCAAUAUAAGGGCAUUCAACUAGUUAAAAACUUAAACUCAGAAGUUCAUAUGACAUGGAUAUUUUCUGCAACAUUACAAAACGAAUUCUUGACUUCAGCAUGCAAUACUUGUGAGUUGUGGCUAUAAAAUGAAGAUAGAAACAUGGUACCAAGCAUAUAGUUGCAACAUCAGACACUACAAGAAAAUGAAAUGAUGACUAAAACACACACCAGUGCUAAACUUGUGAUAUGGAUGGCUCUCCGAGCAAAAAUGUUUCUGGAGCUGAAACCAAAAGAUUAUAGACAACGAAAUUAUUAUAGCAUGAAAGAGCAUGGUAACAUAAAUGAAUUUGACAGAAACAAUUGUAAUAAAUCAAAAAAAAAUCAUAUUACACCGCUCAAGAAGAAAUGUAAAAUAUAAUUAAAUUAGGUAGAAACAUAGAUUUAGAUGUCAAAACCACUAUCAGAGCUGGGUUGCAUUGCUCUUUAAUUUGGGGGGACGGGAUAUUUUUAGUCGGUUUUAUACUUUUGUUAGUUAAAGUGUGAUUUUUAGAUAAACCCUAUAAAGUAAGGGGUGUAAUAUAGAUUUAUCCCAAAAUCAAAAUAGAAUAUGAGUAUGAUACCAUUCAACUAUAACAGAAAAUAUUCCACUGCGUUGAUGUUUUUCUAAGAUAAAGGUACCUGACUCAUUCGCAAAGGAUCUGACAACAAGUUUUUCUUAUUUUCUGCAGGUGAAGAAAAAAAAGACAGAAAUUAGAAGUUAAUUCUCUCAGCAGAAAUGUCAGUUCCAGAUAAGAGAGAAGCAAUAUAUACCAGAGUCAACAGCAUUAAUUUCCCUUAGAGUUGCAUCGGGUGAGAUCAAUGGCUUUAUAAAAAAUUGUGCAAACCUAAAACAACAGACGAGAAGCAAAAUGAAUCAGAUUCUGCAAAAUAAGAACAAAGGUGAAAAGAAAGAAAGCAGUAGAAGGUACCUAUCCAAAGCAUCAUCCAGGCAACUAUUGUUCACAUCAAAAUAAAAGUUUGUACGUUCACGACAUGUGAAGGCGUUGGUUGAACCACCAUGCUAAAAGAAACAUCCAUAUCACACAAUUGAUGAUUUCAAAGUAGAGAAGAAAACUUAAAUACCAUGAUAUUCUUUAUAUGAAUUUAUGAACAAUUAUGCCCCCUAUUCUUUAACUAUAUCAGAGGCCAGCCAGACGAUUUGGUUUUCCCAAUUAGUAUUGUUAAUAAUUUAAAAGGCUAAACCUCUGCUUGCAAAUCUCCAGUAGCAGCAUAACAUUGGAGGAACCCAUGGUUCAAGGCUUGAAGCACUGAAGGUACAGAGCUUCAUUGGGGCCAAACUUGGCCUACCCAAUGAUUGUACAGUCUAUAUGAUACUUCCUCCGUCCCAAAAUGUAGGUAUUUUUUAGGUUGGCACGGUAUUAAGAAAGUAGGUGAGAAUGAUUGGAGGAAGUGUGUGGUUGGUUGAAAAGAGAAAGUAGGUGAAGAAGAAUGGUUGUGAUUAGUUGAGAGGAGGAGGUAGGUGAAAAAAAUAGCUUCAUUUUGGGACAAGAUACUGUGCUAGAAAUAGCUACAUCUUGGGACGGAGGAAGUAAGUACUUGUAUUUGGGGCAUUUUACUUAUUAAGCUUCAAAUUGGUCCCAUAUGGAUUAAGCCACUCGUGCAUCAUUAGUGUUGAACCACUCUCACUCUGCCACUGUAAGCACUGGUGCACCACCGCAAACUCGCAGCAGUAAAUAUAUGAGUUUACUCACAAGUCACAAGCUGGAUACUAUAGUUACGUGUGCCUAUUAUACUGUUACCAACUGACAACUGGUACUCUAGGGGCAAAAGGGCAGUAACCAUGAUUAAAAAAAUUAAACUAGAUUAGCUCUACAGAUACUGAAUUUCUCUAAUCGCACUCUGCUUAAAGUACUAUAAAUAUAAAACCAAACAAGUGGCAUCUAUUGGCAUAACAGGAAGCAUCCAAGAACCCCCAAAAUGUGGUACAAGUCUCUAGUCAUUGCCAGUAAAUUGAACGUAGACUGGACGUUUUGCAAAGAAUGCAGUAUGCUGAAGUUCAAUUGUCCUUCCAAUUGUUCUGAAGCAUUUAGAUUAAGUUUUGAGAUCAAUUUUAGUUCGAUCUAACAAAUUAUUGACCACGACAAAUCAAGAUCACUUACAAAUGUCCUCUUCAAAUUAACAGAACAGAUAAGAAAUUGGCCAUACAUACCUCUGCAAUAUACUUUGAGUAAUCGUCUUCCACAGGGUAUUUCUCGCUAGCAUAGAAAAGCAUAUGCUCUAUAAAAGAAGAACCAAGCAUAAGUGAAUCAAACAAUACAGAGACACAUACAUGUUAAUUACUGCAAAACACAUGCCAUGAAGCUCUCUACAUGCGAUAGUACAAUCCAACCAAGAUAAAAAAACAAUUCAAUGAGGUUUGAACAGUGCCUGGUGAUGCAUUAAAACUCUUUAAAGGUACACACUAGAAAAUAUAUAAAAGAGCAACAUACAAAACAAGGCAAAUUAAACAUACACUAAGCACAUCGAUAGCAUGACACACAGUGACACAAGAAAGUUGUGCUUACUUUAUCUGUCCAAGGAAAAAUAGUUACAAUGACUAGUGAGUAAAUUAAUUUUCUAAUUGAAUAACAGUGUCUCCUUAGAUUUUUACAAUCACCUUAAGUAUCCAAAUAAUAUGUUCGAAGCACUCUGGUGUCGAAAUGAACCUCCUAUUAAUAUAUGCCAUCCAUUUCAAUACAGAGGCAAUAUAGCAUGUAUAUGUAUUACAAUAUUAGUAUAAUAGUUUCAAUCACGAAUAAAAUUUCUGAAACAUCUGAUCCUUCAAUGAACCCGUGAGUUUCAGAUAAGUAAGCCAUUUUAAGGCCCAACUGUAUUUUUCUCUUAAUGCCCUUUCACAUGUGGGCUUUGACAUCUUUGCAGAUUAAUCAAGUAAAUGAUUAGCUCAUAUACCUUUGAAGGUAUGGGCCAUUGUCGCUUAUUAGCUGGAUAUUCUGACAGCACCUAUCAGGAGAUAUUGAUACUGAAUUGAUACAUUGAGUUGCACAUGUGAAUCAAUCAUCUGUAUAUUUUCCUGGCCAUGCUAUACUUGUUUUAAUCUUCUCAUCCAGAGAUACUCAGCAUGAUGCUGGAAAUUCAUUUUCAGAUGUUUUGCAUAUAUUUGUGCACAUAUUUUACUUAUCCAAAAAAAUAUAUGAAAAAGUAUAUUUUCCUUGCAUAUUUUCUAUGUGACAGGGGCUGUGAGAAAAAUAUGCAUACCUAAAUUUCGACCUUCUUCAUCUUUAUUACAUUAUCAAUUCAACAAUUAAACAACUAAAAAGGGACAUGUACAUAUUGUAACAGAACCAAGCCACAACCUCAAACAGCUUGGUGUAAAAAGCCAGCAAAAUUGUAGUGGUAGGCUAAUAGCAGGCCUGACACUGCAACGGAAAUGCAUGGAGAUGAUAGAGAUCAAUUGCAUAGGCAUCAAGGCCCGAACGCACUGAGAUUAUCAUUACUAACAUCAUGUACAGUGAGAGCCACUUAAACGGAAGCAGCUAACUACAACGGAAAUCAUACUAGCAUCCGUUCAAGCCAACAAAAAAAGAAAAUCAUAGCAUCCACGAUUACUAAUUUCUCAGAGGUUUUACGCAACAAGUCAAAACAGGAAGCUCACCAAGGAAAUGUGCAAGGCCAGGGAGCCUCUCGGGAUCGCAGAAGUAGCCCACCGAGACAUUCAUCGACGCCGCCGCCUGCAAACAAACAAAGCCGGGAUUCACCCAUUCAAGCCAAAAACCCAGGAGGCAGGCACCAAAACCCCCGGCACAUCCCCGAUCGAAGGAGCCAGCGAAAGCACGGAGACCUUGUCGGUGUCGGGGUCGCUGACGAGGAGGCACUCGAGGGCGUUGGGGAGCACGACGCGGCGGUACCCGCGCUUGUCGUUGCGGGGCCUGGUGAUCUCCGCGUCGCCCUCCGCCGCCGCCGCCGCCGAGGGUGCGGCCGCGACCGCGCCGUCGGACGACGGCUCGGCGGGGGCGUCGGUCGUCGUCUCGCGCGCUGGCCUCGAACCCGCCAUUGCGGCCGCCGCGGAUUCGCCGCCGCUGGCGGUGGGUGGUGUUGGAGUUGGAGUGGACUGCGUCCGCGAAGACGCGAAGUUGGCUUGGCAGUUGGAACGGCGAGUAACAAGUUGUCCCCGGAGACAACGCGAGAGAGGGUGGCACGGCAGCAGUGGGUGGACCUGCAGCGCGGGUUGGUGGACUUGGUAGUUGGGCACGUCAGGAGUGGGCAAAUGGGCUGGGCCGGAAUGCCGGAUUUGUGCACGGCGGCGUGCACCGGGACAUCUUUCUGUUUGAAGUCCGGCGUGUACCGGGACAUCUUACUGUUUGAAGUUCGAAGUCAAGUAAACGUCUACUCGAACGUUCGGAAUUUUUACGGAAUGGGAAGAAAACUACUCCCUCCGUUUCAUAAUAUAAGCCAUUCUAACAUUUUUCACAUUCAUAUGGAUGUUAUAUGCGUAGAUUCACUAACAUCCAUAUAAAUGUGAAAAAUGCUAAAAUUACUUAUAUUAUGAAACAGAGAGAGUAGCUAGGUGUGCCAUAGCAGAUGCAGCAUACAAAAGAGGCAGCGAGUAGAAAACUGAAACGCAGCGAGGAAUGUGACACACAUGCAGAGUUUUCAAGCAAAAUAUAAGCGUCGCCUGCUUCGGCAGCUUUGCUAUACUCUCCAUGUGUAGAUUGCAGUGGGAGCUGAAUGUAACUUUCUCGCGGCACAUGGUUCCAUUUUUCAGGAAGAGAUAACGUCCAAAGAAACAACAGCGAGCUCACUGAAACGGAAAUAAAAUUUGGAGCUAAACUAAGGAUCUGUAGGUGGAACCGUGGAACUGUGGAAGCACCUCUGCUCUGGUGGUUACGUCGUAGGGUCUGAGCCCACGUAAUGAGAAACCACAAGGUGAUCUCCAGUCGUCAGUCACCCUUGGUGCCAGCAAAAAGGAGAACGAAAGGUCGUGGCGAUAGAAAAUGGUGGAAUGGAAAUGCAGAAGUAUCAACAUCUGUCCACAAAAAAGUUUCUUUAAUAAUGAUCAAAAUUACACGUAAAAGGAUUAUUCUUUUGGAAUUUGCAAGAAUAUCAAAAGGGUUGACUUAUAGCUUCAUCUGACCAACACCUCCCUUGUAUGAACCAUAUAAAGGUCUCGACCUCCUGAAGUUGAAUAUAUCUGUUAUUUGAUAGGAAUUUGGUCGUGGCUCAUCGUGGACUAUCUUUUCGUACUCCGAGGAAUGGAGACCGCCGUAAACUUGAAUACUGAGUAUCUUCUUUUGUGGUGCAUUAACUUUGACAUGAUUGUUGAAGAACUCUAUCAACUCCUCUUUCUUAAGAUCCCUCAGUGCAGCAACCUGCAGUUACAGAACUCCAGGUUUUGAAAACUGAUACUACAUCAGAGGGAUAAUGUAAAUAUAUUGAGCAUACCUCCACUUCUUUUCGAUCAAAUUUCAGAGUUCCUUCCGAAAUCUCUCCCCAGAAGAAAGCUGAUUCCUCUCUUAUAUUCUUGUAUUUCUCCAACUUCAUGUCAAUGAGAGCGUUCACGUUACUCUGCAGAUAACAGAAGCCACUGUUUAGUCCGCAUGAUGUUUACAAGUACAAAACCAUGCAAUUUAGCUACGGCAAGCUGUAAUAGAAGCCAAUGAUUAACAGUGAGUCAGUGACAUCAUCUGUCCAACCUUGAAUUCUGUAUCAGGCAUUUGGUAUAGAGUUCCUUCAAACAUCGUAAGGAAAGCUUCAACUCUAGCAUCCAAGUUGGCUGGAUCCUGUCAAAUCAAUAUAUUAGAAUAGGAGAAUGAUUGUUUCAGCGGGUUUGAAACUGCAUUGAGAAAUAUAUCUACCUUCACGGUUGACUGGAUUAUAAAUUGCAAACCACGGACACCUGAAUCAUUUCUGGGUAAACAGGAUCAGUGUCAAUGAUUUUACAGGAAUUGCAUAGUCUACAUAUAGAACACCAUUCUUGCCAACCAAGGCAAAAAGACCACUGUACAUCCUAUCAAUUACGUGAAGGUUGUACGUACUUUUGUCUAAGCAGUGUUAUGUAGCCAAGUUGCUCAACUGAACGUAAUUGGUGAAAAGCUGGUUGCUUAGCAACAAGAGCAAGCAACUGGAGUAUAACAUUUUUUUUGAGAUCAUCCUGAUGAAUCUGCGCAAUGGAAACAUUGUUACAGGAUAGUAAUGUCUAUUAGAUGUAUCUUUCCAGGGAAAAACUAUAAUAAUUCAAGCUAGAAAAGAAGCUAGAGUAAGAGCAAGGAAAAACUGUAAAUGCACAGAAACAACACCCAAGAAGUGAGGCACACCUGAAUAUAAUGCAGAAGGCAAGAAUUUUCAUCCUGGUGAUUUAGGCAUAAUGCUGGAUAAUAAUACCUCAAACCCCUUUCAAGCUUUACAAUUCGCUUUGUAAGAUGCUGUGAUGAGGGUAAUGCUUUGCACAGACUGACAGGUGCAUUGAAUAAGAUGUCUUCAACAUGCUGCAUAACACCUUUUACCGCACCCGGUUCCAUGUUCCCUAAUAUCGAUUAUCAAUUACAUAAUGAAUUAAUAACAUCAACAAUGCAGAGCAUUCUCUAAAGAAGAGAGUAGUGUGGCUACAAAAGUCAUUAGCAGCAUUACACGGUAAUUUUAUGAAAUGACACAUAUUCAUGUUAGUUACUCCCUCCGCUUCAUAUUAUAAGUCACUUUGGGUUUGUCCUAAGUCAAACCUCAACAAGUUUGACCAAGUUUAUAGAAAAAUAUAGCAAUAUUUCCAACACAAUAAAUAUGCUAUAAAAAUAUUAUCGAAUGAUGGAUUUAAUAAGGGAGUAUUAAACAAACCAGCAAAGUAGCUCUCAAUAAAUGUUUUCCCCAGCAGAUGAGGCAAAAACUUCUCGAGAUCGCUAGCUUCAAUUUGAGAUACUGCAGCAAGUUCUUCAUCCCAUGCCCACGUUUGCUCCUCUAAUAUCAAUGAACAAUAGUAGAAAGCUUGCUGAUAUGGUUGCCGAAAUUUGAAAUUCUCAUACUCCUUUGUUAUAGUUUCCUGAUGACAGCAAUAAAAGAUUCACACCCUCAGUUCAUGUCGAAUGCAUAGAAAUAUAGCUUAAUAUUGCAUCAUCAGGAAGGACCACAAAAUAUUGUAGAACAUAAUAUAUACUCCCUAUGUCCACAAAUACAAGGGAUUUUAGAGUACUAGCUGUCUAAUCAAUCACCUCUCAUUCAAAUUUCUUCCCAUCUUACUCCCACCCACCCCACCCAACCCUCAUUGAACAUGAGCAUCCUAGUCUUUUAUCUUCAUCCUUGAUCUCUCCAAAAACAGAGGGAGUAUGCUCUUUCACCUCUCCAAGAUAGCAUAGCCAUAUAGAAACUAUGAUAUGUUUAAUCCAGGUAGAAUUAUAUAGAUGCUUAAAUAUCCAUAUGCACCUGGAAACAGCUCUCCUGCUGUAUAUAGCUGUUCAGUCCCAUUUUUGCAUGGGAAGAUAGUAAUGACAAAAAUGUUGCAUGUGUAUGCCACUAAAUGUUUUGCAGAUUUGCUCAGAUUCCUUUGAAUUACUUUACCUCCAGGGAAAACAAUUUCAGAAGAUAGUGAGGCAAAUGUCUUCUUUUAUAGGUUUUUACCUGUGUGCCAUUAAAAAACAUGACCCCUGCCUCUGUGCCACUAAAAAGUUCGAGCCUCCCUCUAUGCCAUCGUCGAACUUUAUCGUGCCCUCCACACCAUUCCGUCGCUAUUCUGUUAGGGUCUUAACCGUUUGGCAGCACUGACAUGUGGGCCCGGACAGGAAAAAUGUCGCUCUGGCCCUUUCAGUCGCGGGCCCCACCUCUCAUACUCUCACCUCUCUCUUUCCCCUCUUCCCCUUUUCCUCUUUCUCUCUUGAGUAGCGAUGGCCGGCAGCCGGCGGCGGGCACGGCGCCCACCCGCAGGACGACUCGCGCAACCUCGUCCACCUUCCUCGCCGGCCACCAACCUACCACGCGGGUGGGGCCCACAUGUCCGAGGAGGACGACGACUAGCCGCCGCUGCUGCCGGUGCAGAAGCGGCCGCGCGACGCGCGCCGGACCAGGUGCUCGACAACGUCCUGGAGACGGUGCUGCACCCUCGCCGUCGCCUCUGCACCCUCGCCACGCCCGCCGCGCACCCGCCGGCGAGCUCGCACUCCUCGGCCCCGCCGGAGAGGCCGGCAGUCGAGGCGACGACGAGGUGGCGCGGCGAGGUCGGCGAGUAGGGGGGUCGUCGUCGGGGAUGUGCCGGCUCCUCGCCGCCGAGGAGGCCGUGGCGUCCGCAGCCGCCGCCGCCACCGUCGUCCCGGCGCUCUUCAUCGGUGGCGCCCUCCGUCCUGGCUCUCUCUCUCUCUCUCUUUUCUCUCAACCCUAAGGGCAGCAAAGUCAUUUGGCUACGCUGUUUGACACCGUUAGGACUAAAAACGGACGGAAUGGUGUGGAGGGCGCAAUAAAGUUCGACGAUGGCAUAGAGGAAGUCUUGAACUUUUUAGUGGCACAGAGGCAGGGGCCAUCUUUUUUAAUGGCACAUAGGUAAAAACCUCCUUCUUUUAUCUUUGUUAGAUUCAAACAGUUCACUGGAGACAUCAGGGAAAUGAAAAAAUGUAUAGACUGUACAUGUAUAUUUUGAUUUCUGAUCAACAAUAAGUAUUGUCUACACAAUACUUACUCCCUUCAGUAAAGAAAAAGGUAAAUUGUGAUUCUCGGAGUCAAGACAAUGCCCACUUUGACCACUAGAUUAUAACAUCAUAUGCCCUGAGAAAAGUACAUUGACCACUGAUAUCAUGCAAGUACUUUUCAUACAAAUUGACCAAUCAAGGCAAGAGAUGUCAUUUUACACGUUUACGCCAAUCUUAAUAAGAAUACACACCAUUAUCUAAAGCAGACAUGCCCAAUUGUCCACCCAUGAAUGCAAACUACCGCUUUUUCCUAAACAGAGGUAACUUGUGGCUAACAAGGAACCUCCUGAAUGUUUAUACUCAUCCAAAUAGCCAAAUAUCAGGCCUGAAAAGAUAUUUGGUAACAACAAAUUACAAGUAAACUUUAGUGUGGCCAUUACCUUUAUCACAGAAAAACGGUCAGCCUUAACUUCAAACUCAGCAAUUUUCCCAAUAACAGUCUCCAAAAGAGUUCUCAUUUUGUCAUUGUAGCCAACCAUGGUUAUCUGUAAGGCAAUCAUAAAUAUUGGAGUAUUAGAAAAGAAGAGGAUUUUAGUAAGACACGUAACAUGCCAUGGGGUCUAACUUCUGGAGAAGGAAUAAUAUCAACAUCACAAAACAUGCAUGAUGAAAAAUCAGGGUUAUGCAAUAUUGACCAUUUAAUCUAAUAGAGAGUAUAGUACCAUUUGUAAUCCACAAAUAAGAAAAAAAGAAAACAAAUGGAGAUAAAAGGCCCUGUUCUAUUCUUCAACUUUCUCGUUUUCUGUUAGCACGUUUUUCAAAUUGUUAAAUGGUAUGUUAUUUUAAAAAAUUUUCUAUAAAGAAGUUGUUUAAAAAAGCAAAUAAAUCCUUUUUUCAGAUUUAUAAUAGUUAAUACUUAAUUAAUCAUGUGCUAAUGAGGUUUCUCGUUUUGCGUGCCAUAAAAAUCUAUCUCCAAAACUGGAGAUCGAACGGGGCCAGAUGUAGCAACUUAUGAAAAGAUUAGAUCAUGUACAUCUUAUAAAUUAAGAUCAUGUAGUAAUGAAGUAUUUACAAACCACUCUCAGUACUUAACUACAUCUAGUUAAAAAAAUGCACAUCUAUUACUAUCUCCCUACAUAUUGCUUCCUUGAACAUGCAUGAGAUAUUAUUGAAGUGUAAUUCCAUUGAAUUAUAUCUAAAUUGGGUUUUUGAGCGUCAAGCCAGUAAAUACUAAUUUGAUGCACAUCGUUUGGUCGAAAAAUGGCACGUAUUCAAAAAGGAGUAGCUUAGUAUCAGUGGAACAAUUCAAUUUCCACAUUAACCAGAAAAUUCCUUUUUUGAACCCCCAGGAAUUUCAUAAAAUUUUCACAUGGAACACUUCAACUCCCUCAGGAAUCAGAAAAGGAAUGUGCUUAUCAUUAUCAACAGAAGCCCCUCCCCCCGGCGGGAUUAACAAUGAAGAUAAACAAUUGUUAUUUCACGUGAACUGCACAGCUGACCUGAAAACCAGUGUCAUUUGGCCUAACACCGUAAUAAAGACCAGCAACUUGAGCAUCAUAAGCUGAAAGCAAAACAAAGCUGUUGGAUUAUGGCAAUGGGUAAAUCAAUCAAAAGGUAACUUAACAAGGAGAUGACAACGACAAUGUGUUUAACCCCUCGUUUUUCUAGGAUGAGUAGUGUAUGUUCAGGACGGUGAUUUGUUUUAGGCAAACAGAAAUUAAGGCUCUCAAGCAGAAAAGAACCUUUUCCAACUUCAUCAUUAAUCUUACCUCCUUUAAUAUAUCCCCUCUAGACUAUAUGUCUAUCGUCAGAUCAUCGUACAAAGACAAGUUUAAAAUACACUCAAAUUUUACUACAUACCAUAAUCAUUUAAAUAAUCCAUGAGCAACCUUGUGAAUACAUCAGUAAGAACUGAUGAUUCAGGAGAACUACGGGACAGUGGACAGUGGAAAUCCAUCUUGAUAUAGGCCUUGGGUGUGAAGAACAUUGUAUCAGGUUUAUACCACACUCUGGAAAACAGUGUUUUCCUCAACAUACAAGGAAAACUUGCCUGGAUAAACCAAAAGGUAUCAACAAACAGUUUAUAAAAACAUAAUUAUGACUUUUUUAAGGUGGUAAAAACCUUCUCCUCGGCAUUUUUCAAUGAAAGAUCACUUGGAAGGAAGAUAUUAGGUUUUGGCAUGUGCAAAUCUUCCACGGGAGCUUUCUCUACCCAUUUCUGCACAAAUUUAUACAAGGAACUUUUAUGUUUCCAAAUAUAGAAAUUGGAUAAUAUAACAAGAACAGUAACAUCCAAAUGUAUACCUGUAUAAUGGAUGGAGGAACUGCUUCCACAGAAUAUGAUGUACCAUACCACGGCUCUGUUAAGUUUGUUUGCCCUUCAAAUUUUUUGGACUCCCAGAAUAUCCUGAAAUGAGAUGUGGACGAUAAGUAUAUGAUGCCCACAGUAAAAAAAAAAAAAAAGGUAGAGUGGGAAAAAAAUAGCUAAUUUAAGGAAUAUAUAGAGUGUGAAAGGAGAAGAGAAAGCACAUGACCAUUAAAAAAAAAACUAAUGAAAGGAACAGAUUGGUUUUUGAAAUUUGACAAAAAAAAGGGGGGGGGGCAAUGUAAGCAAAGAAAUUUCUUUCACCUUCUUUGACGAAGAAAUAAUAAAAUUUCUGGCAAGCAAAAGUUAUCUUCGUUUUUUGACAUGAAACAGCAGGAGCAUAUAUAUAUACACACACACACACAUAUUAAAUAUAUGAAAGUUCUC
rnacentral:lncRNA from 1 species